GUUUUUUUAAGGAUUUGAAGGAGAGAAGAGAGGGAGCAGGAGAAAACAUUAUCUGACACUUGGGAUUAUUACAGCCGCUAAAGCCGGUUUAAGUCCGUUUUUUGCGGCGGAGUCCGGAGUCCUUGGUCCGGAUUGUGUACCGGAGUGAUCCGCGGAUCGGUGGAGUUCACACGGCCGACGUCCGACAGGAUUUCUGGAUUGUUUAUGUUCCUGUGCUGGAGUUUGGAGUUUGGAGCUGCUUCCUGACUGACGACGAGUCUGUGAGUACUGACAACUGUCAGAUUUUAUUUUGUUUGUUUUAACUUUGUUUCUUCAACUAGAGACAGAGCCGCUGUGCUCCCAUUUUGUUUUCCGUGGGUUUUGGGUUUAUAUCGGGAUUAAUAUCGGGAGCAAAGGACUCCUGUCGAUUUGUAUUGAACUGUGGAUGUGGGACUGAUUUAUUGAACAGACUUUUUGUUGUUGUUGUUUCUCCUCCGUUGUUCUGGACAGACUUUAAUGAACUGAACUGCGCUACACACACUCAUACACACUCAUACACACCUUACACUUGGUUUUCAUUGUUGGUUGCAAAAAUAUAACUUUGGUGCUUGACUUUGCUGUGCUGGUUUGUGUUUCCUUGGGUGAAAACAGCAGUAUUCUUGGUUUAUUGGUAUAUCAGUCGUACUAUUGUUAGCCCUUUAUGCCCGAAACCACAAAUUAUGGUCAGAAUUUUUUUUUUUUUUUUUUGAAGCUGAAAUGUUUAUUUCACUUACUACUGCAGGGUUUUUCCUGGCUCAAAUUGAGGCAGAGGUGGCACCAUCCUGACCAUGCGCCAUGACGUGCAUGUAUUUGUAAAUUCAACUGACUCACUUUCUUUUACAGGCAACAUACUUUAAGUUAAGAGUUCAAAAAAGAGUGUGACCAUUAUCAUGCUAAAGCAUUCAUUUAUUAAAACUAUAUACAUACACAAAUCAGCUGGCAACUUUAAAUUGAAAGUACACUUCAUCCACACAUCUCACAACCAGACAGAACAUUUCAGCCUCCUCUUUUUCAUUCUGUAGAACCUCCUCAUGCACUCCUUGUAGUCCAAGGCCUCCUGGUCUGGUCCAUCAACGGCCACCUUACAACAGACAUCCAAGUGCCUCUCCUUCAGUCUGUUCCGCAGAGGUGUCUUCACCUUAAACAAAACAAUUCAUCAUGCAUGAAGUAUUUUUGUUUUUAUUCUGAUACAGACAUGAAGAGUGAUAGUGUUUUCAAUCAUAUAUUAUAUAUAUGUAUACGUUGCAGUGUCCUCCCUAAAAAAAACGACAACCAAUUAUUUCUUAAACUAUCUAAACUAUGUUAUUUUAGUUUUUGUAACUUUAUUAGUUGAGUGUUUUUAGGUACUACCAUCUUUAAUAUACUUCUCCUUCUCUUCUGCUGCUUUGUGAACGACUAUCACCUCAUGUCUUUUUAAUGUGUCCAGCCUGUAGUUGGUUGAUGGCUGUCUCACUAAGGAGGCAGCAAUUGCCUGCUGUGUUGGGGCACAGUGCUUUUGGCAUAAAUAGCAGUGCAUGCCUUCCUCAGUAUGCCUGAGCCAGGUAAAUUGAUUGAGCCACUGCUUGUCAAAGCCACUGGCUCUGUGUUUUUGAGAAGAUCUGGAAAGAGGAAUAAAAACCACGUACACGUCGGCUCUGCGUUGUUAUGCUCCUAAUUGGAAACUAAUUAAUUAAUUACCCUCGCCUCGCCGACUCGUCCUGUCCUGCAUUCUGACCCUCGCGAUCACCAGUCCCUUGUGAAGUACUUUCAGACCUGACACAAAUUUCCACAUUGUCACCACCAUGAAUUAUAGCAUUUUAACUGCCUGUUCCUUUUUUUUCUCUGCUGUGUUUCACCUGGACUCUUGACUUUCCUCCUCGCGAGGUCGCUUUUUAAAGUACUGGCUGAUUUUGCCCGUCAUAACUGCAACGCUAAAAACGGAGUAAACUUUUUUUUUAAAUAAACACGUCAUGCUCGGAUGCAAAAAAGACAAGCAGUAUUUACCUGUUUGUGUCCAGCCGCCAGGGAAAAUCAGGACGCCGAUAGCACCAACUAGCGGGAAAAAAAACAUGAUUCGAUCCGUUUCUUCUUCGGUAGAUGCUUCAGGUCUUUCCGAUGCACUGCUGUUGAUAUAGCGCCUCUAUAGUGGUGCAACGCUGCAACUGCAGUUAAAAUACGUUGCUGCUGCAGAGGGACAUCAUACGCUCAAUCAACACAGCUGGAGCUUUACGCUGUGUUGAGCGAAAUCAAUCGCUCUGGCUGGGGGCGGCACAAAAUUAGGUGGAGGCGGCCGCCACGCAAUUUUGAACGCAGGAAAAACCCUGUACUGAAAACCAGAAAAAUCGAAAUGUCCUUAAAAUUUAACAAAUAUUUAUUUAUCUUGUUUGAUACAUUAGAUGUUUUUGGAAACUGAUAAACUACAAGAGGACAUUUUUAUCAUUUAUCAGACUGUAUUCAGGUGUUUUUUUUUUUUUAGAAAUUUGUUGAUCAAAUUGAUUGAUAGAAGUAUCACAAAAUAUCUAAUAUGAUACAAAAGGCAUAAAGGAUUUUUUUUUCCUUCUAGACACACACGCACACACACACCUUAUACUUACUUGCUUAUAUAAAUGCUGGCAUUUUUCUUUGUUUAUUCAGUGUUGCUUGAUUUCAAUUGCGAAUGGACUUUGGUUAUGUCCAUCACAAAAUUUUUUGUUUGCUGCAUCAGAGAAACAGCGUCUAAACUUUUUCUGAUCAUCAAAACUCACUGUAGUGUAAGCAACCAGUAGUGUGGCGCGCCAACCAGGUUACUCUGGGUCAAGAAUCUCAGUGGCUUAAAGUAUCGACUUAGUUCAUUGUUGGAUGCAAAAAUAUAAUUUUCUGGUGCUUGACUUUGCUGGCUUGUGUUUCCUUGGGCAAAAUUAUUGCUGAUGAAUGGUUAUUUUUUGUGUGCGUGGCUUGACAUCGGUAGUCUUUGUUUAUUGAUAUAUUAGUAGUAUUGUUAAUAGUGUUAUACUGUAAGAUGAAGAAUUUGUCAAAUCCCCUUACAAUAGGAGGCAUGAACUAGGUGCCAACCAUACAGAGAAGUUUCUGCACUCUUUGGGAAGUUGAAAUUAUUUUCUCCUGUGGAAUUUAAAAUUAAAAAUCAGGCAACAUGGAAAUAUAGUGGACAUAGUUUAUUUAAAGGCCUGGCAAUCCAUUUUCUUAACCAGAUUCUUACUACUGCCUCAUUUCCAUUGCAUGGUCAACCAGCUUGACAAGAUUGCUUGGAUUUUUUAUUGGUGAAAUCCAUGAAUAGUGCCUGGUUCUUCCUUUGGUGUCACCUUGGCUGAGGAAGAGUGGAGUUUGUAGCUCGGCAGACUAGUGAAUGAUGGUCUUGGGACUUUUAAUUUGCAUGGCAUGGGACAGCUUACAAAACCGACCCUUUUUUUAGCAGCCAAUUUAACUUCUAUUGUGACUUCAAUUUUCUAAGCCUUAAAUCGGGAAUUAAAUACAUGUCAGCCUGAGGUGAGGUGUUACGUCAUAUUCAAACAUGUUUUUUAUGACCAGUAGGUACAAAGUUGGUGACUUUGAGGGAGUUUGUCACAUGUGUAAGAAUAUAUUUCACGAGUGAUGGGAUUUGAGUAAAAGUUCCAUCAAACUUUGACACCACUCAUUAAGUUUUUCCUUUAAAUCUUUUUGAUACUAAACUUUUACUUUAACUAAUGUGGAUUCUUUCUAGUUUUGUCAUGAAUCUCUCCUAAUAAAGACAUACAACUAUUUUAAAAAGAAGUCUUCAGGCCCUAAAGACAAAUUCAGAAUAAUGUGCAGUCAGAGCGUCAGCGUGAAGGUUGAAUCGAGCCCCUCGAGUGAAGUCCUCCUUGUGGCAGCCCUGAGUUUGAUUCCCAACCUUGGCCCAUUGCUGCAUCUCGUUCCCUGCUCUAUCUUCGGUGUUCAGCUCUUCCCUUUGCCCUGUCUUUCACCAAAGACCUCAAGUUUUAUCUUUAUACAAAGGAAAAAUAUGAGCGCGUGUGUGUUUUCUUAUUUGUAGACAAGAGUGAUGCUCCUAUAGCUGUUUGAAAUAGUAUGCUAUGCUUCAAGCUUUGUUUCCCCUUUUCCACCUUCUUCCUGACAUUUCAGCGAUGAAGAGAGGAAGCCGACAUAAAGACUUAGCCUUCAUAUAUUAUUAACCGCACAGCGGCAGAAGGGGAGAAGCUCUGAUAGAGAGGAACUGCAGCAGGUCUCCAGAUAUCAAUCCUCUGAGAUGCCGUCUUCUUUGUCUGAAUUGGAGUGGAUGAAGGUCUGAGUGUUUACGUAGCGCAUGAUCCGUGCAUCAAGGCUAACAAGAGUUCAAUUGUAGUAGAGCUUCACAUGUUUCCUGGUCGACAAUCUUCACAGAAAAAUGAACAUGAAAACUAAUAGAAUUUCUCUAAAACUGCUAAUAGACAUUAUUCGGGUUUUAUUUCCCAGAUUUGUCAUAUUUCUGUCAACAUCUCCCAGACUCAAAGCGAUCCCAAACCCAAGAAUGGUACCCAGAACAGAAAUAUGACAAAUUAGAGAAUAAUUGGAUGAGAUUCUUUGUUGAAGGUUGCCAAGCAUUACCAUCAUAAUAGAAAUGUAAUUAGUAAUAACACCUUAAAAGUGGAGGCUGUCACUUGGGUAGGGGACGUUGUAAUUUUCCCUCCUUCUUUCUUUUUUUUUUUAGUAUUUUACAUCAGGGAUUAGCCAAUUUGUGGCGUUGUGAGGCUCACUGCGACUUUAGAUGAGCCUUUAUAGCUUUGUGGAAUAAAAUGAUGUGAACCGCCUAUCUGGGUAUUUUUGUUCGCGCUGGAAUUAAGACUUUAUUGAAGCUGUAUAAUUGCGUUUUAUUGUUUCUGUCUUUUUACCUCUCUCCUUCCUCUUGCGGCUCAUACCCCAUCAGCCCCUCAGAGGAAAAGUCCUUCCUUUAUUCCCAUUUUACUUCUGGACAGUAAAUUUGAUCUACUUUCAUUAUGCAAAUCAAUUUAAUUUCAGCUAAAACCUGGAGAGAGGAAGAUGGAUUGGAAAAGGAUGAGGAGGAAGUGCAGCAACAUGCAUUGGGAAUGAAGUAUGAGAUCCUCCCCGGAUCCAAUUUCAAUACAUUAAAACUUCCAUGUUUUUUCUUUUUUUUCGUACUCCUCAUCAUCCGUCCGUCCGUUUUUAUCCGUGAAGCGGUCCAGGUUGAUUUAGGUCGACACCUGUUUUGCCCUAAAACAAUUGUACUCCUCGCCCAGUGUCGGAGGGUGAGAGACAGAUGGAGCUUUAGGAUAAACUGUCUCCGUGAUUACCCUCUCUGUCUUGUACUGUAAGUCAACAUUAUAAAUCUUCGCCCAGACAGUGGAGCAGUAUCAGCCAACUCUAAAAGCCAAUUACUUUCUCAAUGACCUGGCUCAUGUAAUAUUUACAGCCAUAUAGUGCCUUCUACUUACUUCAAGUCUAUGAAAUUGUGAUGUGGAAAUAAUGAAAUUAUUAUCUUACAUUUUCAAUAUUGGCUGCUGUGUGGCGAGGAAUAUUUAUACAGCAGCAGAAGCAGCAGCACGAAAAGUGAAGCCUGAUUUUUCUCCCCCACAUUAUUUUUUAAAUGAUUUUUCUUUGAGUUUAUUUUCCCUUUUUUUGCACAAUGAGGAUUUUCUCCAAAAGAUUUUCCCUUUUUUUUGAGUUUGCUUUGAUGUUUUUUUAAUGCAGACUGCACAUGCUCACUCACUGGCAUAUUUACGGCUGGAAUUUCCUCUAAAUUACCGCUCGUUUUCCUCCCACACCCUCCACAAAUUUAAUUACUAUUACCAACGAGUUCACAAUCAAGCAGUUUGCUAAGUGAUGUGAAGGCAGCAGGCCAGACCCCCUGCUGAGAGGGUUGCAGCUCCUCUCCACAUGGAGCUGUCCAUCGAGUGUGUACAAGCUUUGAUGCCCUUGUGCGAGUGUGUGUGCGUGUCUGCAUGAGGCCACAUGGCCACAAAAGUCUACAAGGCCUCUCGGUUAGCCAGUCCCUGCCCACACCAUCAAUGCGCCGACCCUGACACACACACAAACAUAUAUUCAAUGCACACGCACACACACACACAUCCAGACAAUGAAUGCCAUUGGCAAGGUUAUUACUCAGUCUCAUGUGUCUUUACAAUCCUCCUCUCUCCUCUCCACUUUUUGAUCUGUUCCCUUUUUGUAUGAAAAAUAAUGAGGACGUCAUUGCAGCCACAUCAAAGAGGUCAAACGUCAUCUCCUGCAGAAGUACAUGGCUGAAUAAUAUGCACAUGGCACGAGUGCACACUUAUGUCUGACAUUUGAUGUGCAUUUUUUUUCACGUGUCUGCAUCUCAAGCUUCACUGUCAAGCAAAACACCACAAUCUGACCUUUAUGAUUUACAGUUUAAUGAAGAAAAUCCACAAAAAAACAAACAAUUAAAUCUGCUGGAAAUGGACGAUCGUGCAAAAUUGAAUUGAGUUAGAUUAAUGUUUGAUUUUCCCUUCUCCUAAAUCUCCUAAUGCUGAUUAAAAUGUCUUGUUUUGACCUGUAAAAUACCGAGUGGGUUUUCAUCCAGGACGUAUACAACAUGAGGAGUGUUUAUGGCAUUUGUGGCCUCACAUUCAGCCAAGAACAGAUGCUGCCAAUUCCUGUUUCUUGGCUUUCACUUUGACAAGCUUCUCCGCUCUGGGAUUUUGACUCCUAUUUUCAGAAGUACAAUGUUGCACUUCCUCAUAGAGGUGACUGGCUCCAUGGAUCAAAUGUGUCUUGUAAAUCUUGUUUCAAUGCUGUGGUGACCUUCUUUGACUUCUUUGCGGUAUAUACAGCCUGACACAGCUCCAGGGUCAGCUGCAGUCUGAGGGUAAAAAGAGGAGAAAAACACUAUUUGUUCAUGCAGAGAGCUGUAUACCACAUGGGAUCAUAUUUUUAAAUUCGUAUAGCAGAAUAGAAAAAAAAAAAUCUACACUGUCCAAGUCUAUUGUGAUGCAGUGCUAACCAUCUCUGCAUUUAAUAACCUGUUUGUCUCAAUCAGGAGACUGUGAAAGAGUAAAAGCUCCAGCCACAUAAUUAGUGAUGGUGCAGCUAACAGGUAAUAAUGUUGCUUAAAAAGGGAUGAGAAACACUCUGAGAAUACAACUACAGGAAUAUUCACCUCAUUAGUUUAGAUUAUAUUUAGGGUAUUUAAGGAUACAAUGAAAAUUCAAUUAAUCAUUAGCAGAAUUAUGACAAAUUCAUAGUCACUUUACAUUAUUCCUUUUAGGGGUAUGACCAUAUUUCUUAAUUUAUAAUUAUAGUUUAUAGAGAAAAAGGCCUCAGGAUGUUAAUUGUUUUAAUCAGCGCAGUAAACAGAUGCAGUAAUUCAGCAUCAACUGAGCUGGAAGUUUAAAACAGUGAUUAAUGCUCAUUUAGUAUCAAAUACCUGCUUUUUAGACCUCAGUGUUGGGCAAUUCACACCAAUGUAACAAAGGAAAACACUGUACGAUACUACACUAUUAUAUGUUCUAUUGUAAUUACUGUACUGUACUAUACCAUACUAUACUGUGUGUUACUACACUAUACCAUACUAUACUAUACUGUUAUUCUGCCUUCUCUCGUGUAUUGAACUAGCUGUACUGAUAGCUAACAGUUGCUCCAGUAAACACCAGGAAGCUUCUUGCCGUUUUGACCUUUUAUUGGAUUGAAUGCUUGUAAAACUGUAACACACAAAAAGGUGCAUAUAACAACCAAAGCUGUAACUCUUAAUAAGUGUCACACAAACACUGUAAAUCCAGCAGUCAUAUUAAAUAAAUAAACACAUGAAUCACUAGCGAUUAGCGUGACGCUAAUUUACACUGAAAAACCCAUAGGGAUGCUAGCGCUAUUAGCGUCCUAUUUUUAUCCAGCUUUUUAGAUAUUAAACAAUUUAAGGAGCUUCAUGUUAGCUUCUAAAAUUUAGUAACAUCUUAUGACAAUGUAAUAUUUAUAGACAGAUGUCCUUAAACAGCCUAAUAACAUCUUGCAGGAUGAAUUAACUCUAGAGAACUUUUGACAUGGCUCUGUGCAAUUCACUUUUCAACUACAGUAAGUCUAACAGGACAAAACUCACACUCAGAAACUUGACUGCAGGGCAAAACAACUGUACUGUAAUACUCGAUAUUGUACUCCACUAUACCACUGUAUAUAUACUGUAUAUAGUAUAUACAGUAUAUAUACACUGUACUAUACCAUACUAUUCUAUUAUAUGCUAUACUAUUUGUUCUAAACUACACUGUACCAUUCUAUAUUAUACCAUAUUGUAGUAUACACUACUAUAGUAUACUAUACUUUGCUAUACUAUACAAAAUUGAACUAUACUAUACUAUACUAUACCACAUUUUGCUAUAUUAUACUAUACUAAAUCAAAUUGAACUAUACUAUAGUAUAUUAUACUAUACUAUACCAUAUUUCACUAUAUGAUACUAUACUAUACUAUACUGUACUAUACUAUAGUAUACCAUUUUUACUAUAUUAUACUAUAAUAUGCUAUACCAAAUUGAACUUUACUAUACUAAACUAUACCAUGUUUUACUAUAUUAUACUAUACUAUACUAUACCAAAUUGAACUUUACUAUACUAUACUAUACUAUACCAUAUUUUACUAUAUUAUACUAUACUUUACUAUACCAAAUUGAACUAUAGUAUACUACACUGUACUUUACUAGACAUACUAUACUAUACUAUACUAUACUAAAUGCCACCCUUGGACAUGUUGUUGCAGUAGCUGGGCCACCUUAUUUAUUAGAGGCUUGAUACGUCCCUGCAUACUGUCAGUUUUAUUUACUCUUUGUCCCAUUUUUAAAAUAGGUGCGUUCUAUUUUGAAAAUAAUGCUUAAUGCCAAGUUGUUGACCGACGAAGUUGUGCUAUUACACUAAUUAACUAAGCAAUUGAUUGGUGACCUUUUAACCAUGAAUACAUCCAAGAUGGGCUCUUGUAAAACACAUCCAUGUUCACAGGGUCAACUCCGACCCUCCUUUGGGCUCAUAACAUCAACUGUAAUUUUAAGUUGCCCUCAGAUCGCAACAAAUUACGUGCUUGUUCAACAAGAAGUAGGGCACAUGGCUCACAGGAUAUGUUUGUCUUACAACACUUCCUACCUCCCUGCUUGAAUGAGUUGCUCCUGGCUGUGUUGCAUGCAGCAGUUAACCCGUAGGUUGCCCUUUGAAGCGUCAGUGUCAACGAGGUCGAGGUUGAAGUGGUUUGAUCUUGGAGGAGAGCACUCAGAGGUAAAACUAACCAAAGGAAGCAGGCCUUCCAAGUGGUAACCACUUGAAGAUAUACAGUAAGGGAAAACCGUGUUAAAGCCUGGCCAAAUGUGGGGACUUUUCACCCUAUUCUUUCCAGAUAGAUGAGCCUAUUGGACCAGAACUUUUUUUUGCUGAUACACAAAUCACAAAUUCUUUAUUUUCCAUUUCCGUAGUACUAUGUUCAUGAUUGUAACUUGGAGUAAAAAAGCUUUCAAUUGAAUGUGGGGGAUGACUCUGCCUUUUUUCGAUGCCACAAUGUCUCAGUGUGAUACUUCAAAGCCAACAGUCCCUCGAUAGCCCACAUUUUCUCACACAUAUUGCUGAGUCCAGCCAACAGGUAGACCCAAGGGUCUCAUUUCCUAUUCCAACUUUGAGGGGGGACAUCUGCUUGGAACAGUCUGCUGCUACAAUCCAUACAGUCCCACUUGAUGGAAUACUAUGAAUAGCAUAAAUACGCUCCAUAUACUACACAGGCUAUCCAAUGCAACCAAAAAUCCGAGUUAAUGAGAGAGGGUUAGGAUGGCAGCCGCUCUGAUUUAAUCAUUUGUGAGAGAAAAAAGUGAUUAUAUUUACACUCAGAGCUUCUAGAGAGCUGAAAUGCAUUUGAUUGUAAUCUUCUGAAUAAAUGUCCCAAAGAUGCAGACAAGAUAUGGACCAUUAUUAUGCAGAACAUGGCCUUUUAGCUUGAAAUACUGUAUCAAGCUUUCUGAAUUACAUCAGCUGCCAUACAAAAGUCUAGACGGCGUAAUUAGCUUGAUUUUAAUGGUCAUUUAUCAUAAUAUAUGUCAAAGUUCAUGAAUAAUUUGAGAACAAGAGUCUAAUUCUUGCUUUUAUGUUAAAAGGGUUGGUAAGACUUUGAAGAAAUGAGAUUUAAAAUCAAUGAGAAAAAUUUUGGUGUGCCAACAUGGUGUAAAAUUCACUUACACUUGUAGGUUGAGAUGUAUUUUCUAAGACAAGCACUCGAGUCCUAUUUCUUAAAUGACAAAAGGCAGACUCUAAAGUUCAGGACAUGUAAUUAAUUCUUGCAUGAAUGGAGCACAAACACUGAAUCAAGUAGGUACACAGAAGUGGUCUCCGAUUGUAGGCUUUUAGAGUCUCAGUCCUCGCUUUCUCAGUCCUCUCGGAUCUUCGUCAUCAUUUCUAAAUGAGGUCAACAGACAAUUUAAACAAGUAACACUUGUCCUUCGUUUCUUUCUAUUCCUCAUGCGUCUGCUGUCCUUGUGUAGUUAAAACAUCUCAAUGAUCUUCAUAUUAUCUUUAUUUUACAACCUCUCUGCACAUCUUGGAUCGCAUUUUUCCAUCAUCAUUUUUUCAAGUUUUCCAGACAAGCAUCCAGGAUCGGGCACUCAAGCCCGGAGAGCCCUCAGAGAUGCAGUGUGCCGGUCAUAUGACUGUCUUUAGCAAAGCGAUGACAGUACUGGCAGCCCUAUAAAAAUGGUAUUUCAGCGAAAGGGUAAAAGCCCUAUCUGAUGUUGGCUGUCUGCAAAUGGCAGCGGCGUUUUACUCGCAGCCCUCGAACAAGAUGAUGCUUCGCCCUCAUCUUGGUCUCGACAGCAGCGGUGAUGGGUCCAGUCGAGCUCACUGCACUCAGCAUUUAAGCUUUGGUUGGUGGAAUGGAGGGUCUAAGAGAGGCAUAACACAAACCCCUCAUUAUUUUCUGCUGUGAAAGAGUAAAAAUAUGGCAAUUUUAUUUUAUUCUCAAGGGAAGUGAUGCCUGCAUCAAGGUCUUGUGGGACUGUGUGCUGAAAAAGGAACCAAUGAGUUCAAACACAUUUUGUUAAAACAACACCGGGUCUUUAAUUUCUCAUAGAUCUCCAACUUUUGUGUCAACUUCAUGUAAUCAGCUGGUUUUGGCUUGACGUUGUUUUCUUGGGUCAUUGUUUUAAGGUCACGCUAUGAAGUCUUUGGUUUAAUAAUUUGCCCCUUGAAUGACAAACUGCCCAGGGAAUAGACACACAAACUAGGCAAAAGUUUCAUGCAGACAGGGCUGACUCUAGGGCAGCAACGAUUAGUCGAUGAUGUCGACAAAAAACGAUAAUGAAAAAGGUCGACAAUGAAUUCCAUCGUCGACUAUUGCCGCCAGACAUGUUUUUUCCAGUGGAGUGAAGCAUCGUACUUCAUUACGAUCUUUGCUAAGAGUCACACAUGCGCAAUAGUGUCUCCACCGAGCGGUAAGGUAUUCAAACAUGGCGGCGUGUGCGUCCCAUGCAGCAGCUACGAGUACGCGCUUAAAAACCUUCUAAGUUUUGGAGCACUUUAGCCUAGAUAAGGCGAAAAAAGAAAAACUGCAAGGUUUUUAAAUCACUAACCUUAUGGCAGCACAAACAUUUGAGGAAAAGGCACGUAAUUAUCCGAUUAGUUUCAAUAGUUGGUGACAAGUCGACUGUUAAAAUAGUUGUUGGUUGCAGCCCUAGCUGACUCUACCAUGAAACCCUCCGACUACCAACCGGUCACCGGUGACAGGAUUUGCCAUGCCUAUUACUGUUAGCUUCUCCGUACCGUAACUCCUGGACUAUAUGUGCAGUUCAAAACGUAGAAAUCAAGACCUUUCCCAUGAUGACAUAUCCAUCGUUAAGGUGAAGCGAGAAUUCUACAGGCAAAUUAUCAAAAUAAAUCCAAGCAGACUUAGUAUAACUGGUCAUAAGAGGGUUUUUACAAACUUCGAAUGAUCUAAACCCAAGCACUUAUUUCAGUUUGAGCGCACACUCCACAGUUAAAUCAUGCAGGACUUUGCCAUUAUAAAGUCCAUUUGUAUUUGUACUGUUUGCACAUGUAUAUGUCCUUCUCAUGACUCAGACCUACUACAUGCUGCAGAAAGAAAAACAUGAAUAAAGAGAAAUACUCUGUUUAUAUCUGUACACAUGGGGACAUGGACCAAGGCUAUUUUCAUGACCACAGUGUUUAUGGUCCUACAUACCACUCCUGCAGGUAACCAUAACAAUACAGUCCUCUUAAUGACCUUCUAUAACUCCUCACAGAAGCAUGAAAAAAAAAAAAAAUAAUGAAUAAAUAUCAAAGACAACAGAAUACAAAAAGGACAAAUCUUGACUGGUUAAGGGGUUGGAAAAGCAGCAAAGCCUUUUCAUUUUCAUCCUUGUUCUGAAAGUUGACCCACUUUUGAUAACUUUCUGUCUUUGCACUGGAUCCAAAUCACCCUUUAAUUGCUCGACUCAAUCCGGUGUAAAUCCAGCAGCAGAUUCUCAUCACAAACUGGCACACACACAGUCUUUGCCCUUUGCUGAGUAAGCAAGUAGUGCAGGGAAGCAGAUAUGCCACACAAUUAAUUAUCGGUGUUUGUACAUCAUUAAUUUUUAUUAAAGCCAGCUGCGGGUGUGAGCGUGCACUAAUAAAACAGAUAAACAGAUCAUUAGGCAUUUUCAUGUCCAGGCCAAAAAAAAAAAAAAGGGACGCUCGCAGGAAGGUAAAAAUGAAAUAAUGAACUCGAAUCAAUGCUCUGUAACGUGAAGACAUCCUGUGAAUAACUCUGUAUUGAAACAUGGUGUCUGGAAACGGAGCAGACUCAGACAGAGUGGGCCUCUCAGAUUCAGCCCAGACGAUCAAUAAUAUCCUUGUCAAAGCGGAAGGGUUGGUUAAAUUAUGGACAAGACGCGAUCAUUACCAUAAACUGUGUGGUUCAUUAGCCACUACCCUCCAUGUCAUUUCAUUAGCUUUAAAUGCCCCUAUUAGUACAUGCAUCCAGCAUGGGUACGGCCAUACAUCUUGUUGGAAAAUGUGGCCGCAGACUGCUGUCACACUGACUGAGUUAUUCCAUAUCCAGUCCAGCUAUGACAUGUGAUUCCAUUUGAAGAAAAAAAAAACACUCAAACUCUGUAAAUAUUCCCUCUAAUUACAGCUUCGUGUAGGUGCCUGACCACUUACACAAUGACAAUACAUCACUAGUUUACUACUGUUCUCAUAAAGUGUAAGACGAGCUGUUACUUUAUAAUGUAAAUGGAUUUCUUUAUGGUGUGCUGAUGGAUCAUCUGCUGAAGAGCAGGAAUUCAUUGCACUAUGACAUCCAAGGUCCUGUGUAGCCAAGAUUAAAUCCUUUUGAAUAAUUGCAUCAAAGUGCUGGUGUAUGAAAUACAGCCAGAUCCAUUCAUUUUACCACAACAGCACUCCUGAAAUGCACCUCCAGCAUUCAGCAUCCUCAUUGUUGCAUUUGUACCCACAGUGGCCUGUAAUUGCCAUGAUAAGUGCAAAUAAGAGCAAUUAACAAAGCAUGGUAAUUGCCUCUCAUCUCUCUUCUCUUCCCUCUGUUUUUCUUUCUAUCUCUCUCCAGUCCCUAAUGAUCUGCUCGUUUUGGUAGACAGAUCUGCUGCAGAUUAGAAUCCAGGACCAGGACGACAGCAGAAAUAAAUAAUGGUCAUUAGAGCGUGUUCGACUGACGCAGCACCGGGAAGUAACUCGCUCAUUUCCUGCAUACGCAAAUCCUCCGAUGGCUCUCUUCUGGCUCUCUUGCCUCUUUCCCGAUGAGAUUUAUAGAUGGGUAAAAAUAGGGUUGUGAAUCUGAUUUAUCACAACAAAGCUCUUUGGCUGGAUCGCUCUGCCACAGUGCCCGCGGUGCUCUCAGGAGAGCUUCACCUGGCACCCAGCCACCAGCUACUCCCUCUCUUUCUUUCCUCGCUCCCUUCGCCUCGCCUCCCUCAUCCUCUCCCUCUCCGUUUUUAUGGUUCUGUGGCGCAGAGCUAAUUUCUGUCAAUUUCUGAAAAGCACUCUGUUACACUCUGAAAUGGGUCUCCGAAGAGGUCAUAAGGGAGGGAGUUUCUGGUUGAUGGGAUGUUAGUACAUGUUACAGCAUUUUUGAGAUUUACUGUUUCUGGCAACAAAUAAUUUAACCUUCCGCUUUUUAUCACGUCAACAAACAAGAUUUCACAUGACAAUGCUUCUGGAAAACCUCUGUAAACUUAUCUCUACGGUGUGCCUGCCUCAGUCACAGGAUUUAUCACAAAUUCAGUCAAACUUGAUUUAUUGAAAAUGAUUUUUACAGUCCCAUUGAGCAAUCCAUGUUUUUAACAACACAUGCACACAAACUCAUGACAAUAUGCAAAAUAAAUAUUAACAACAACAAUAAAAGGAUGAGCUUCUGCUAAACUCAAUUUCAGAAAUUGAAUGAUAAAGAGAAUAUGUACUGCACAAUCUCAUAAUUUAAAGUGCCACGCCUGUCUUUUCUGACCAAACUUACCCUGUUGUUUGACUAUUUUGGUUAGCGAUGUGUACAAAAAUUAGUAAGUAGUGUUGUAAUGCUAAACAGGAAAUGCACAGGAGACAGAGGAAGAGUAAAGAGAAUGCCUAUAAAGAUUUAUUCACUCUCUGACCCGUUUUCAAAAAGUAUGGUUUACAGUCCCCUGAAAUGCUGUUUCCUUGUGGAUGAAACGCCGAUAUGACAAAAAAGUUUUGCGUUUACUCCUGAAUUCGUUUCCGUGGGUUGAUACCGCCUUCAGACAGACUUUGCAGCUGGGAGUGGUUUGCUCUUCGUCCGAAACUGCGAAGCCGUCCCAAUUCCACACGACUUACUCGCUCUUGUCCUGUUUAGCCACAAAAUUAUCGCCUUCUUUUGCAAACGCCAUGUUUGUUUACACUAGUGUGUGUGGGAACUGGGGAGCGCUCCUGCAGGAAGGGGGAGGAGCCUACGGUAGCCUGGAGGCACGAAACAUGAGAGAUAGGAAAAUUUAUUUGAAGAUUUAAUUUUUUUUAACAUCCUCAUCAAUUAAUCGUGUGGCCCUAUGUGAUAUUAUUCAGCCUCAAAAGUUCACUGAGCUGCAGUAACCUGAUUGCAUGACGCCGCACAGAUGUGCCUCGUUUAGUUAAAUAACCUGUAACACAUUUGAGGUAACUUUGGUGUGAGCAUGCUGCACAACAGCUUCGGCUAAGACCAGCAAGUGGAAAUUUUCUCAGUUUCAUCACCCAUCGGUGCCUGAAGAGAAACCCAUUGAUGGCGACUGCGGUAUUGGAAAUGCCGAAUCAAUGCAAAUUUCGUUCAGUCUUUUGACCUUUUGCAUCUCACGUCACCAUGUCCACCCACCCCUCACAUCCCCUCUGAACAGCAGAAGGGAAAUGUUAUUUACUGCAUGCUGCUGCUGAAUAACUAAUGCACAAAUUCUCUUUUGUAAACUACAUAUUCAACCGUGAAUUUGCCAUGUUAUGUGGCAUGUACAGAGAAAAAAGGAGAAGCUUAUCUUUCUUUGAACUAUGUUAAAAGAUGUGAAAAAGGCAGAAGUGACUGUUACUAAUAUUAUCACCCCACUGGUAACUGCAUAAGCUGGUUUCCAAUGUCCAACAGCUGCUGUGUUCACCCAACAGUAUGAGUCGUCAUCUGCUUCAGUCACAGGAUUUAUCACAAAUUCACAAACAUAUUGAAAGUGAAUUUUACACUCUCUGCAGCCAACAUGAUGUAGGCUUUAAUAAGCAGUACAUGGCAGCCGCAGACAAAACUCUCUAAUAUGUAAGAAUGAAUCACCUGCAAACUCAAGUGGAGUUCGACUUUACCUCAUGCACAUUUACCAGAAGCAGACGACGACGAAUGCCAGCACACGAACCGGUACACUCGAGUUGAUUCACCUCAUUUGACACAGUCACUGACAUUUGUGUUAAGUCUGCUAUUUCCUUUGUCCGCUUUAAUGAGAGAUGCCAUGGUGGAUAUGUCUGCAAGUGGGUCACAGAACAAGGAAAGAGGUGGAGCUGAUCUGUAUUUAUACAACGCCACUUCACAACAAGUGUUAACCCAAGAUGCCUGACAACAAAAAACAAAAAAAGCUGCUCUACAAAGACCCAAUGUAAAGAUGGGAUUGAGCCGAUCUUGUUAGAUCAGACCCACUCUCAUCCCAUUCACACCAUUUAGCAAAUAACAGUGUAAAGAAAGAACUUCCUUUAACAGGUGGAAACCUUUAGCAGAACCAGCUUAAAUUCGCGGAGCUUGAAUUCGCUAUGUAGAAAAUCUCAUUCCUUCUCAUGAUAUGUCCUGUAUCAUCAGAAAAAUGCCAUAUGAACAUGUAGACAACAAGAAAAGCAUGAUUUUCAUCAGAGUGGGUCUUUAACACUCUAGGCAGAAAGCUACAUGAUGACACCUUUUAAUUGACUCCCCACACCUCAAAUUAGUCAAAUUUAUCAUUUAUGAUUGUAAUAAUGAUACAUUUUAUUUAUUACACGCUCAAACAAGUGUUCAGAGACGCUUUACAAGAAACACAAUUAAAAUACAGAAAAGACCAACAAUGUAAAAGGUUAAAAAAAGACAUAAUAUGAAAAGACAAUAAAAGAACAGCUUACAGGUUAAAAGCCAAUUUAAAAAUGUGUGUUUUAAGGAUUGAUUUGAAAGUACGCGGGUCUGAACAGUCUCUGGUGGGUUUGGGGAGUGAAUUCCAGAGGGCAGUGAUGGCAGUGGAGAACGCUCUGUCCCCUCAAUUUGGUGCUUGGUCCGAGGGAGUAGGGCAAAUUUAUGGAUAACUAUUUGCCUUAAUACAACCAAAACAGAUAGCAAACAUUCUUACUGUAUGGUUGGCAGAAUGUAAAAGGGGCCAAAGCAGGUUAAAUAAAUAAAUUCCAAAUAGCUGUGUGGCUUUGGCUUCCAACAUGCCUCUUACAGCUGUUGGCGUCAGUUUCAGCGCAGCAUCCGACAUGUUGGGAGCUGUAUAAUUACAGCAUGUUCGCAGGCCCGCUGAGCAGCUCUCUGAAUUUAAAACAUGGCUUUUUUUUGUGUCUGUGCCAAUUUGCACACACAGCUGAUGGCUGGUAAAUGAUGUCAGCAUAAGCAACUGAUGUCAGCGCGAGCAACAGCGAAAAAACCACAACACUGUUUUCAGAGCAAAGCAAACAACCGAGAGGAACGCACAAUAGUCUUGAUCCACAAAGACUGGAUGUGGUUUUUUCCCCCAACUCCUUUUGUAUAACAUGCAACACAUUUCUAUGAAAAUCGACUCUACAGAUCCUGCACGACAACACUCUCCACCUCUCUCUUUAAAUGGAUUAUUUUCUGCAGCUUUUACCAGCCCGCGAAUGGAAAGACAAUUUUUAAACAAAGGGAAAUGUCACAAGUGAAGAAUUAUUGGAAUACAGCUUCAGAUUAUGAGAGCUCAUCUAAAAAGGAGAUAAAACACAGCAAGUGUUUCUUCCUCCAGCUUUGCUCCAGGUGUGAUAGUUUUCUCCCUUAUUUAACAGGGGAAGGAGACACAUGUUGGGAGUGAUUCUCUCAAAGGCUUUUUGCUUAGUGCACCAUCUGCCAUCGAAAGGAAACGUGAAAGCUUUGGGAGGAAGAGGAAGAACAGGAGGCCCAGACAGGGGUCCUCUUUAUUUAUCACCAGGAGAAAAUAUUUCACUGAGAGAUCCAACCUGUUCAAAUCUUAAUAGAAUACCUGGAAAUACCGCAAGUGGAGUGUUUUCUAUUUAUGGGUAUUUGCACAAAAUUAAUGUGAAGAUUCAGUAAUGCAGCUCCGUUUAUUCAGAGGUUUCUUUCCUGAGGUGAGCAGCGAAAGUCCUCCGAACUCCAACUUUUUUCCCGUUCGGAAACACUGAGCACUUCAGCUCGUGUAAUUGUUCGGCUAAUUCGUGACUUGAAAAGGACAAGCAGCAUGUCACUACACAACAAGCUGUGUGCAGAGUACUCCAGUCACAUACUGACCCAAGAGAGAGGCAGCAAGGAUGAAUGAGUGUGAUAAUAGAAGCGGUCUCCUGGCAACAAGAAGGCAGUUCCUUUGACUAGAUAGAAGCCAGGGGAUGAAAACAUAUUAAGUAAAUUAAUUGAAAAGACCCCCCAAAAACAAGGGAUUGAGCGAUAUCUGUGCAGCCCCCCUGCUGGGAGAUACAUUGAGAAAACAAGAAAGAGAAAAACUAAUUUUCUUUCAAUUAUGUACCCAGCUUUUGUUCCAUGAUCUGAUUCGAACAACAGUGGUAGCUGGGGAAUCACUCGUACGUGGAAUCUCUUCAAAUUGGUCCUAUUUUAUUUUCUGACAAUAUUAUCUUACUCAUCAACGGAAUUUAUGCAGAAAACACCGUCUGAAGUAAUGACUAGAGAAGCUCGCAUCACAGCGGUUCAUUUUUCCAAUACGAUCUGAAACAAGUCGUUUCACUCGGCUGAGCUCGAUUGACUCCAGGGGGAAUUUCACUAAAGUCUUAUAUUAACAGAUCAAAUUAUCAUCCCAGAUUUCAAUUAAUGAUAUCACAGAACAUGUAACUCAAAUGUAAUAAAUCUGUUGUUAUAUAUGGUUACACGCCCCACCGCUCCAUUAACUUUGUAUUAUUUCCAGUACCUAUUUGUGGCAACAUGGAGCUAUAAAAGACCAGCACUACUUAUUUCACAUUAGAACAAGAAUAAUUGCAUUAGAUAUACUGUCAGGCUGCGCCUCUCUGCAGACCUUUGCAUUCUCCGGCUUCCUAUUUACUUGAAAUUGGCUUAUCAAUAAUUAAGGGAAUGAUUUGUGGCAUGCUGGAGUAUUGGCUUUGGGCAAAUGUCCAAUGGGCCUUGGUUGCAGUAGGUCAGGUUGUACCUAAUCAAAGGUGUCUGCUGUAGAAUAAGGAAGCAGCAGCAGCGGAAGCAGCAUGGAAGAGACAUUUAACAACCUCUGCGCUGCUAAAAAUGAGUAUUUCAUAUCAAAGUGAAGAGUCUCCACAAAAAUGGAGCUUAUCUGCAAAAAGGUAUAUCAAAAUGCAGCUCAUUUCGCUGAUUAAAGCACUCCUUAAAGAUAAUCAAGUUUUGAUUGACAUCUUUUAUACGUAAUCAGUAUUGCCCUUUACUGUGCGCGUUUGAAAUGGACGCUGAAGUCCCGCCAGCUGAGGAUUGUUCACUCUCAUUUGUCAUUGAGGCGUUUAUUAUAAAAUGCUCCAUUAGCCUUAUUGUAGUGAGCAGGGGUGUUUCCAGAGGAGGUAGCUUCUGUGUCUGGGGGAGUGGUCCCUCCUGAAAAACUGGUCUUAAACUGUGAUUGGCAUUUCCCUUCAGAUACAGGAUUAGAAUAAUUAUUUGUUCUGUCGCAACAGGCAAACAGUGACUCUUUUGUAUUUAAAUGUUCUGUAAUUCUUUAGAAUAAUUCACCGUAAUGUAGGGCUGGGCGAUAUGGCCUCAAAUCAGUAUCACGAUAUAUUGAUCAGUUCACCUCAAUAACGAUAAAUGGACAAUAACUACUCCACAAGCUGCUCACCCCCUCCCACAUUAACUUCGUCUACUUCAGCCGCUCCAACUUUUGAACCGUCCUCUAUCUCCUCACCAGUCUUUCCCUCUUUGUUACAGACUGGGUGGGGUGGAGUCACGUCUCUGACGUAGGACGGCGUCUUAAAGGGACAUGAGACCAUAGCCUACCUACACACAUCCAGAACCAACUUUUAUCUAUUUAUUUUUUUGACACCAAAGAUACCGAUAUGGGCAAAAUGAUGCCGGUUGUUGUCGUAAAUUUUCGGUUUAUCACCCAGCUCUACACUAAUGUAACAACUGAAUGAAACUUCAAUGAUAGUAGAUGUUAUGGUAUUAAGUAAGAUGAAGGUUAAUGUUGAUCGAAAAUCAACUCAGCUUAAAGAGCCGCUGUACGUACCAGAUGUGUUCGGGCUGCCAGAUCGGCUCGGAGCCCAGCGUCUGUUGCAGUGUUGUUUUCGUCAGGCAGGACGAAAACUUAAAUGACGACGUUAGACCCCUUUUUUCCUUGACGAAAAUGAGACUAAGACGAACUUCACCAAAGCUCUGUAAAGACUAAAAUGUGACGAAAAUUGUAUUCAUUUUCGUCAGACGAGAACGAGACGAGACUAAAUUGUUAUUAGGUGGACAAACAAAGUUUCAAAACAUGCUUUUUUUUUGUCCUAACAGUCACGCCCCAUCACACACGCACCAAAAGCCGCGCUCGCGCACAGCUGCGCGCACACACUCAUUCACAUACACAGAGCGGCAGGUGGACGAGGCGCGCACACACACACACACACACACCGUGGCGGCAGGCACAGCAGCGGUGCCCGGUGGCCGAAAAAAGAGGGAUGAUUUUUGGUCCUACUUCAGAUACAGUUCAAGUGACAAUAAAAUAAAAGUGACAAUAAAACACGGGACGGGGAGACGAGACAGACGACAGUUGUGGAGCCACAGCUUCCUCAUGCUUCAAACUGUCGGGAAAGAACACCACGAACCUCUAAAGGCACCUUUACGUCGACUAAAACUAGACGAAAACCUUUUGAGUUUUCCUCGGACUAAAACUAGACGAAAACUAUCAAGGAUAGAAAUGACUAAAAUGGGACUAAAAGGAAGAAGCAUUUCGUCAAAAUGACUAAGACUAAAACUAAAUCUAAAAUGCCUGCCAAAAACAACACUGGUCUGUUGAAGGCGUCAAACUACGGCAAGUCAACUUGGACAAACUACAUUGUGCUUCAUAUAAUAAUUUAAAUGUGCUCGGUUCAAAGCCCCUUGCAGUUUUCAUUUUUCCAUUUGUUCAUUUAAUUGACCUUGAAAUGUUCUCUCCAUAUCAUACAGAGAACUACAAUUUACUGUUCUGUAAUUUUUAGAUGGCUUUAUUGUAUAUUUUAACUUUUCUAAAGGAAAAAGAAAAAAAAGAUCCCCUUUGAUGAGUAGUGAUAGAUUGCUUUGUAAAAUUCUUCCAUGUUUUCUCAUGAGGUGGCAUGAGGAAGAGUCUCAUCAAGUAAGAUCGAUGAGAGGAACACUUUUCAGCAUCUAACAAGUUACAGAAAAAAACUUCCUUUCUACAGGCAGAAACCUUGAGCAGAUCCAGGUUCAUGUUUGACAUCUGCCUCUUUUAUGUUGAAGAGAAAAAAGACUGAUAGAGGCAAACAACAACAACAACAACAACAACAGCACAUACAGGCUUAUAAUGUUAACAAUACGGGUACAGGAAUGUAAAUCAAUGAUACUAGAGUCCUCUUACUAUUUAUGUUAAUCAAGGCCAGCAGGUCUAGUAUUUGUGAUAAUGAAGUUAAUAAGUGUAGGAAUAAUAUUAUCAGUUAGAGUUGGGGUCAAGUUGAUCUGAAAAUGAAUAUUAGUACAGUAACAGCGAUGGAAAUGGUGAGGCUGAUAUUAAAAGUUGCUGCAUGUGGAGUCAGAACAGCAGCAGGGCGUCUGCAACAAAGAUCCCACUACACAAGGGGGCACAGGGACCACCAGGAAAAACUGUGGUUGGUUUCUUUAAUGGGACAUAAUGAUUCAAAGUUAGAAACAUAAAUCAACUUUAACAAAGAGGAAAGUUUGAAACCUACUCCUCAGGGAUUUUAAGAUGAUUCCAAAGGAGAGAAACCUGAUAACCGGCUCUACCUCCUGGACUACUUUUGGAGACUUUCGAUAUACUGGAACUAACAGGUCUAAUCUCUGUCAGGGUAUUGGUUUAAUGUGCUCUCUCUCUUUUUCAGUAAGUACUGGAGAUGCAGGGAGAGGUGCAGUAAUGAAGUUCAGGGAGCUGCUGAUGGUGGUGUAAUAUUAAUGUCUUUUUAUGGUAAUGGUUUGUUAUGACAACAAAGAAUACUGUAAUAAAAUCCAGGCACACAUAUCAAAGAUGGGUCAAAAACAUUGCAACAAAUGGCAGAUUAAAUGAAGCCAAAUUGAUACUCCGAGGAGCCAAAUUACUUGGCUUGUAUUGCCGAGUUGAGCCAAGAGAUUUGGAUCACUAAAAAGAGCUUGGAGUCCCAUCAGUACUGUUUACAUUUGGUAAUUAACACGUGACCUGUCUGGCUGAAUCACAAGAGGAUAGUUUGGGAAGUAGUCUGGAGCGCAUUUGCCCACAUUUAUUUCAGAGUGUUUAAACACAGGGUCACAUUUAAGGUCCACCGUCCUACUGAUCCUCUGCAGGAGUUACAGAAGAAUUUGACGCCUCCUUGUAGGGCUGAAUGGUUUUAUUUUCUAAAGCGAUAUUUCUUAGACAGUUUAUUUAAGAUCCAAAGUGAUUGUUCUCAGAGUUGCACUACAUCCUAAACUCAGUGUUCCCCCCUAGAAUUUUUUUCAGAGUUGGUGCUGCUGUGUCUGUGUCCAUGAGGAUGCCAUGUCGACCCGUAUUCAUGCACGUGAAAAUAGUUUCAAAUUAAAUGACCUUAAAAAUCUUUAUAGACAGGAUUUUACAGGUUUGUAUUUUCAAUUUACAGCUUUUGAUAUUAUUCUGAAUAAAAUAAAAUAAUGUCACAACACAGAAAAUUACUCACACCUGAUAUAAACCAGAGUACUUAUUCACACAGCCUUCAUCCAGCGUGAUGCUCACACGCCUGCAGAUGGCGAGAUGCUCUUUUUGUAGCCUGUUCCUCAGGUCAGUUUUAACCUAGAAAUUUUCGCCGUUACCACCACUCUCUUGCCGCUCAAGGAGCUAUGUUAUUACGUCACGUUACGUUACCUGUGCUGCUUGAAUGUUACCUUUCACAUCGAUGGAAGAUGGUCCGACAGGAUUGGAUGCGCUUGUUGAAGUCUAAAAACAAGAGAGGAGGAGCUGAGGGGAAAACUGGUUGGGAGGGGUAGAGUUUACAUUCAAGAUUUCUCCACAAAACUGGCACUUCCUCAGAUCCUGACUACACUACCUUUAAGUGGAGGAGUAGCAAGAAAAUGUCCCAUGCACCUGGAUGCAGCUGAGGCAGUGUGUUUCCUUUGCACUGAUUUUUAGAGUUAGUCCAGGACUAACUGCAACAGCGCCUUAAAUGUAUGAAUUUUAUGGGGCAUUGGGAGGCAAGGCCAAGAACAGUCAUGGCCCCAAUGUCCUGGAAAGACAGCAUUUAAAAACACUGUGCCGAAUAUUAAGGACCCAAACUUAGGCAUCCGUCUGUUUUGUAGGGUCUGAUUGUGUUGUUGCUGUGAGGUAAAUCUCUCUCUGUUGCUAAGAGCAAAGUUUCGGACUCCAAGUUCAAUGCCAGCGAUGAUGAGUCCCUUAGCAAUACGACGGAGAACACAGCAGGAGCAUGAAGAUGAUUCAUAAGAUAAAAAAAGACGGAAAGACUAAAAGGGAGUAUUUCAGGGUGAAGGUAGUCCGACUGACAAUAAAUUACUUCCCUUGAGACAAAUUUAAAUACGGACUCUCUAAAAAAUGAACCUGUUGAGAAAAAAUGUUUUGAUCGUGGAUAAUUUCUUUCGUGAAAAUAGUUUCCUUUUUGAUUUUGUGCAGUUAUGGCUGCAUUCAAAGGUAAAACCUCUCCUCUCGGCCGUCAAUCCCCAUCAGCGUCUGUUUGUUUUGAGCUUUUGCAUUACUGUUCCUGCCACCCUGUUGAUGGACUGAAGGAUUUCUGCUUUGCUGCUCUGAAGACAAGAGUGCUUUGCGUUUUAUUUCAGAGCUGUGAAAAAUCCUGCUUUUCCUUGACUGACAAGGGUACUUGAUAAAGAAGUGUACUUUCACGGAUAUAUUUCACCGAGUUUUCAGGACACAUGAAUAAAAAGAUGCGCAAUUGUCUCUUAAAGAUUCAUUUAAUUACCAUAACAGCUCAUCAGCCUUCUUCUGAAAUGUCUUUUUUUUCUAUAAGUUGCUAUCACACUCAGGUUACACUCAAUACUAUCUGAUUUCCCCUCUUGAAAAGCCAUCUGAUGUGAAUGUCAUUAAAGAGACAGCAGUCCAGGACAAAGCAGCUGAAAUAUCAGCGCUGAGCUCUAUUAUUAUAAUUUUUCAAUCACUGUGAAGAUUGAUACGUUGAUGGAGAAAGCUGUUCCCCUCUUCUCCCCUCCUGCUCUGACUGACUCCUCAGGCCUGUGGAGAGGCUGGGCGGCCCCUCAUUAAGCACAUUCGGGAUUACAGCUCCUGGCCGGGGCCAUUUCCAACAACAUGCUAGUGCAUUGUAAUAAGCCUCUCUGUGUGCUGCGCAAACACACUCAAUCUCCCACUUUAAUCACAGAGGAGGAGAUGGGCUACUCCUCGAGCCCUCGACGGGAGCAGUGAGAGGAAAGGGGGAUUUGCAAGUUCCUCCAUCCCCUGAUGACAUAUAAUCUCCCCGGGGGAUGAGUGUUCUGUCUCAGGCUGCUGAUUGACAUGUCUAGCAUUAUGAGCGAGCGAAAAAGAGGAGGAAAAGCUGUGAGAGACGCCGCAGCAGCAGCCAGGAGAGGCGAGGGCUGAGCAGUGAUCCUUCAAGUUGUCUGGUCAUUCUGUUGGCCCUGUAGCUGCAGAUCAUCGGUAUGUCAAACAGCUUAGAGGGAGAAUCAGGCAUGAUGAAGAGGUCACCCUGUGAAGUGUGCAUGACAUCUGUCUCCUAAGGAAGACGAGAGAGUGUCAUCUUGUGAGCAAACUACUUGAUUAGUAAUUAAAAAGAGUUUUGGAUGCACCUCAGCUGCCUUUCUCUGCGUUCUCAUAAUCUCAAACUUCUCCCUCUCCUCCAUCCUUAGGCCCACACUCAGCACCUCUCCUUCCUUCCCUUUUCUCUCUUUUUCUCUCUGUCCUAGCCUUAAGGUCAUAUGAGGGUUUGUCAUCUCUGGGAGCGAUGGCGAAUCCACUAAUAAGCUUCCCAGAAUGACUGCAAGAAGUCAAACAUCAAAUUAUGCAUCCUGUUGACUGUUUGAUUGCUGCUGGUAAAGAUAUAAAACAUGCAGCUGUAAAAAUCUGCUUCAUUUAGAUCUGCGGGUUUUGACUCCUUAUGGUCUCAAACAGUAAAAAUGUAAAAUCGAAUCAAACUGAGUGAAAUGCAUAAAACCCAAAUGUGUACUGACAGCUUUGGCAGAACCUUUCAAUGAAACGCCUGAAUGUAAAAUGAUUUUUGAGAAAAUGAAUCAGGUUGGUGUCAGUAUUUAUUAAAAUACCUGGACAUAGGGUCUAAAACUGCAGUUCCUUGAGAGCCCACUAGAGGGCUGGCUCCAGAAGCAUGAGAAACCACAUCCACACUCUAUACAAAAGCUCAUCUUUGAGCAGAAACAAACAUGUUUAUAACCUGAUUCAAGACAUGGUUUUGGUCUGAAUCACCUCGACUGUGGCAGUUUUUGAAUUGUUAUUCUCCAUACUCCUGCAGUAGAUACUUCAUACUUCAUACUGUGUUCAAUAGUAGGAUGCAGUAUGACCAAAAGUCGUCCGUUAUUAUGUAGUAUGCUUUGCACAGUUUAGCUAGUUUCUGGUAUGGAAAAGUACAUCAUACCCUGGUAAAAUUGCAGGUACAAGAUUGUUGCCCAUUCAUUUAUGCACUGAGGAAAUCUGAUGUGUUUUUUAAUUUGAUUUUUUCUUGAUUUUUUUAGCCCAAUACCAGCCAUCAAAAUGUGCUCUGUCUAUGCAAUGACUUAUCGAUCUGGCAACAAGAUUCUCAUCACAGCACUGCAAAUACAGCAAAGUUAUUUCAGUUAUGUUGUCCUCGUUUCCUGCUUAAAUGAUAGAAGUAGCAUCUUCACUAAACGUGUUAACUGAUGGCGUCUGCGUGGUGUGGUCUUAUUUUUCCGUUGUCCUGAUAGUUUGAUAACUACAGUGAAAACCCUCUAAUCCAAACUCCUGUCUCCUGUCAGUUUAUUUCUUGUCUGCUGAUUGAGUCAGACUGAUCGAACGUUUACUCACCUCUCUGCAUUAAAGUUUUAGACCCCCCCUGAUAGCAGCUGCCUGUCCAGCUGUGUGAUGGAAACAUCACUGAUGGACCGCGCUGUGUGUGGUAAACAUCACGCGUACGGUACAGUAUGAAGGAUGAGGAGAAGCAGGAACAUUUAAGGCGAAGAAAAUAGAGAAUAAAAACUGUACGGAAUGAUAACAAAACAUUCUUGUCAGUGGUUUUCACACAUAAAGCUGAAAGGUGAAGGAGAAGACAGGCUGUCAGGAGGAGAAAUCUUUUGUCUGUCCUCUUAGAAAAUGAACGCUCGGGUGAAAAGUUUCACCGCUCUCCACGAUUCCGCCGUCUGCCCAGGCGCUUUGCAUCGUGGGUAACAGUAGGCAAAUUUUGCAUUUGUUUGCAUACUGUGUACUGCAUACAAAAUUUUGGGCAAAUCAGUACGUACUGCUAGUAUAGUCAGCGAAUUCGAGAACGGCAAUGUCUUGUGCCUCUUGAUGGGCUAAAGUAUGGAUUACUCAUUAUUUCCUAUAUGGCGACCCCGACUGAUAAGCGGAAACAAAUAGGACCAUCUUCAAACACUGCGCCAACCAGCAUCCCUAGGAUUUAUUAUUUAUUUAAGUAGGAUGUCUUCAUCUGAUUUGUAUUUCCUUCAUUCAAUCCAAGUGACUAAAAAAGGACAGAAGACCUGGUCCACUCUUGGGCCUGUCGCUGUGGGGUUCACAUCGCCCCCUGUACUCCACCUUUCUACCACAGUCCAAAAACAUGUUCAUCAGGUUAACUGAUCACUGUAUGUGGCCUGUGAGUGUAAUUGUCCAUAUGUCAGCCCUGUGAUAGACUGGCACUCUGCCCUGUGAGUACCUUGUCUCUGGCUCAGUGAAGGCUGGGAUAGGCUCCAGCGCCCACAUGACCCUGAAGGGGAAAGGGGGAAUAGACGAAGGAUGAAUAGAGAGAGUCUUCCUUGAUGGCGGGGUUGGAUCUAAAGCGCUGGCCUGGGCUGGCGUGGCGCCACAAAAUCUUAAACUGUGAGUGACCAUAUACUUAGUAUACUUAUACUUAGUAUCCUGUUUCCUGCUUUCUGCCCCCUUUUUUAUUUCGUUUCUUCUUCUUACCUAUUUUAUGUUUUUAUUUUGGUCCUCAUGGUCUCAUUUUAAGUUGAAGGGUUCUUGUAUUGCCUGGUUUCUUAUUGGCCUUCAAUUCGAAAGCCUUGUUUUUAACUGAGCUUCUGUUUUUGUUUGUUUUUAUUUUCAUGUGCUGAUGUUCUGUGCUUUGCAACUGUUUGUCAAAGCACUUUGUAAACUUGUUUUCAAAAGUGCUAUUUAAAUAAAGUUGUUAUUAUUAUUAUUAUUAUUAUUAUUAUUAUUAUUAUUAUUAUUAUUAUUAUCACAGCCUAUGGGCGUACAAAGACUGCAUAGCUCACCCGGGGGAUACGCUGUUUGAGCCGAGCGUCGUCACAGCGACUCUCCCGCCAAAUGCGUACAAUGCUACUGCGCAAGUGGUGGUUCCAGGAAGUGGAGAAAACCCUGAAAAUACAGAGAGCAAUUCAGCUUCAAAUUCAUAUAAUGACGGAAGGCGGAGCGAAGUUGUUCAUAGUAUAUAUAGAGUGUCUAUGGUACAGACAAAGACGCGGCUUGGCAUAGCGCAGCUCGGCGAAGUGAAAAUGUACUGAUAUCAGCAUAAGAAGACAAUUAAAGAUGAUGAAAGUUUAAAAGCUUAAAAUAAAAAUAAAUAUUUAGCAAAGCACCGGACGCUGACUAACGUGGACGCUCUUCAAUCUUCCUGUCUCCAGUGGGUUGGGCGAAUCCAAAAUGCUGAAAACAAGGGGGGUGUUCUGAGACAUGCUGUUAGCUGUGAAAAGGGGGUGCUCUGAAAACACCCCUAUUAGCACUUGGUUCGUUCCUCCUUAUGAAAUUAACCAUAGACUGUAAAUUGACGAGGAAAAAAAUCGAGUCGACCAAUCAGAAUUUUGGUUGACUCAACACGUUUCGACCAAUAAGUCGGCCAGUCGACUCGGACUUAACAGCCCUAGUCAUCACAGCGACUGGAGAGCGUGCAGUCAUCUCGGCAACUCUCCUGUCGAAUGCAUACAACGCUACUGCACAAGUGGUGGUUUCAGAAAGUGGAUAAAAUCCCAAAAAAUACAGAGAGCAAUUCAGCCAAGUUGUUGAAUAAAUGCUGCCCCCCUGCUUGAAUAAAUGGAUAAACAUGGACAAGAUGCUAACUUAAAAAAAAACAUACAAGCAAGUUAAAUAAAAAAAAAACAACUAUAACAUACGUCAGCCCUCCGUCUCCACUGGACAAUGCCAGGCCAAGUCUCAAACUCUCAACUCUGGCCAUGAAAGGGAAAAUAGGAUCCUGUUGAGUGCUCAGACCUUUCCAGCCCUUAAUAAUAACUAUAACAACAAUAACGAUGAUAGAAAUAGAAAUGGAAAUAAUAACAGUAAGAGCAGAUAAGAUCCCCAGGCCCCUCAUAAUGAAAGAAAGAAAAGAUAGUUUGACGUAACAGUCGAAAGCAAUCAUAGACUUUAAUGAUUUCUCAUAGCAUUCUUAAGAAAAAUAAAUACAUCAGUUAUUUCUUAGCAAGAAAGAAAAAAUAUGCAGCAAACAGAGCUCAUACUCCUCCAACGUCCUCACAAUGCUUUUAGGAUCAGUGUAUGGCAGAGAUAUAUUUUUUUUUAAAAGCCGGGGAAAAUGAGAUUCUGCCAAGAGCUCCAAAAAUACUCUGUGUCCCCGAUGUGCAGUUUGCACAAUUCAAAUGAUUUUCCCAUACACAGUAUUGAUCCUACAUUUAUACUUGAGCCUUGGUUGGUUGGUAAAAACUUAUAUUUAUUCAGUGGUUUUCAGGAGGCACAAGGGGAAACCCGAGCAGUGAGAUACAGUGGAAAUAAAUACCUUUCACAUUUUCGUAUUUGCUAUUUUUUCUCGUUUAAAGGAACCAGAUAGGAUUUAUGGUGCGCUCAAAUCUCAGGGGCUUCACUCUGGUUUAGUUGACUUUUUAAACAGGCGACUAUGAGAACACCUGCUACAGGAACCUGUUGCUAGGGCUUCUGUAUUAUGAACAGCGAUAAGCAGAGAAAGCAUCUCACUCCAGAGAGGGGGAUCUUCCCUCAAACCGUCAAAGUAUCACAGUCAUCUACAGUGGCGGUCGACGACGACGACGGGGUCAUUUCUCAUCCCUCUGAUACAGCCGCUGUGAUGUGCAAUGAUGUCUCCAUAACUCUAUCCUUACUGGCACAGUGUUUGGUGAGAUAAUUCAUGCUACCAUAAAGAUAUGGCUGGUGGAUAUAGAGGAGGGAGAAUUAUGGUGGUUUUAUUAAAACAGUAAAUCCGAUCGCUCGCCUGUGGUUGAAAAAUAAGGAGGGGUGGAAAAAAAAAGAGAGAGGAGGAACAUGCUCACGUCUGCUGCCAGUUUGCUCUUCAGUUGACGGCAGCAUUGAGUUCAUUUACAACUUGUUAUGAUACCGGGGAAGGGGAUGUGGGUUUUGUGUGUUGAGAGGAGGCCAAUAUAAUCCGUCUUUGAAACAGGGGCUGACAUGAGGAGAGGAGCGGAGGAGAGCGAGCGCAAGCAGGUAUGCAGGCGGCCUAACUGGUUGGCUGUAUUACAUUCCACACAGGCGGUACUGGUGAUGGAUUGAUGCCAGCUGGAGAGAGGCAGACCUGAAUCAAUUAAGGAGAGUUCAUGAAAUUGAACAGAGUAAAAAGCUGUCUGUCUUUUUUUAUCGGUAAUUUGAUCAAACCUGUGUUCACCUUCAAACCCCGGGACCUAAUGGCCAAUAAUGGAUGCAGUUGGGUUACUGUUUGAUGACACAAAAUCUGCCCUCCAAAGGUUAGCAUUCAGGCUCAUUAUGAAAUUCCUGUCCAUUAUUUCAAGCAGCUGGACCCCGGAGAGACCUGGAUCUAUUUACUUGCUUGGUAAUGACAAUGACUCAUUAAAUAUAAGAGUGGAGUUAAACCCGGUAAAGAGGUACGGGGGUGUUUUUGGUCUGCUGCCGGCGCUGCUGCUGCUGCUGCUGCACUCACUUCAGUUCGCUCUCAUCCUCUGAUCAGAGGAUAACAUUUUGAUUGACAUUUAUGAAGGUCAUUGGUUAAUUAUCAGUAACUCUUCACCUUUAAUUACGCUUCACUGGCAUUAUGUACAUGCUUAUUUGCUCAAGACCCCAAUCGGUUCGACAACAUUUCUUAUGCAAAUUGGGCAACAAUUAUCUCUCCCAUCAAUGAUGGAGGAGGCAGGUCUUGUUUGUUCCUAACGACAUUGUUUGCCGUAUUGAACGUGUCAUUAGCUUCUUCCCCGCAAGGAUGCUGUCAGGGUGAGCAGCCUUUCAUCACCUCUGCAACUCCCUGCCCUAUAGAGAGUGUGCUCAACAACAGAACAAAGACACAGCAACAAGGACCUUUGAUGCUUCACAACACAAAAGAGGGCACGCGUUUAUAUAUGUGCAUGUAUAUUAAAUGCAUGCAUGUACAAGUACAUACUGCAUCGCAUCAAAAGGCAUGACCCUCCCGGACGUGAAACUAUGAGAAUAAUGAGGCUAGGCUAUUAGACAUGGUUUCAAAAGACGGGUUUGUAGCAAAAGCAGGAAAUGAAAUGAGAGACAUUGAGAGCUGUUCUUGAAAUAUAGAGCUCAUCUCAUCAUAACAUAAUAGAAGGAGACAAAAAAAUCAUGAUACUGUGGAUGUAAUUCGUUCUCUGAAAAACACCCCAUGUUUUGAGCUUGAUUCUAAAUAAUAAAGUUUAACAUGGUGGACUUAAAGGAAUAUUUCAGCGUAAAUUUAAGUUAUGGUCAAACGCACUGUAACACAGAGUUGGACACCCCAUCAAGAGAUGAAUGUUGCCGACUGUUUGCUUCUCUAGUUAUACAAACUCAAGCAACGACUGAACCUCAACCAAAAAGCCACUCUAUAGACAUAAAUAAUGCUCAGAACUGAGAGUGUUUCUACAUGUGUAAACAGGGCUUCUUACCGACGUGUAACGUGUUACACGUCGGAUAUCUCUUUCUAACGCAGUUGCGCUAUAUAACCACUAGAAGGUUCUGUCUCCAUUCAAACACCCCCUAAUCCCCAUAAAUCAAAACCAUUCCAGUAGUUAUCAGACAAAAACGUAUUCUUGUAGACCCACUUCAAAUAGGAACUAAAUCAUAGCCAACAUCACAGAACUUCAUGUAACAUUUUAAGGCUUAGGUUACUUAUGACAGACAAUAAAAUGAGUUGAAAACAAAAUUAUCGAUCAUUUUGACAGACAGGAAAACGUACCGUGAGCUAACUGUCACUCUGCAGGGAAUUUCGCAGCCUGGCUCCAGAUUAGUUGCUGAUAUGCUCUCUUUGUGCCUUGUCACAUUUCUUCGACUUGUUGGAAGUAUGAUCCCUCAUGCUAGCCUGUAACCCGCUAGCGGUAGCACUAAUGCCAGCAGCAGUCGCUCCCUCCAACUUUUUCGGGUGUUUCCAUUGCAGGCGCUUUUGUUGUAAGCCAACUUUGCCUGACAUAGCCUACACUCAUCUUGAUCUCCACUGGCAGUUUGUUAAAAAAACUACGGCUAUUGAUUUUUUGAAAUGGUCAUGAUUUGUCCGUUUACACGUGUAAAUGUUGACACCUCUACUCAGAACAGCACCUAACUUCAUCAACAGGACAUAUAGGGUCCCAGCCAUAGUACUAGCCACCAAACAUCUUUUUAGCUUUUUCUGAUUUCUUUAGCAAAGAUACUAAACACAACUCACCCGCUCUCUUCCAGCAGCCGCUUGUUUGUGGGGGAGCCCUGACGAGUCGAUCACCGAAUAAACCGAAUCACUUCCAUGAAGUAAUUAUCAUCAUAUUAAUCAUUUUACACCAAAAAAGUGUUAGUUCUUCUGCCUUAGCGUCUCUGUCUGAUUGCAUUUCCAUGAAGUUAUCAUCAUAAAUGUUCUUCCUUGAGCUGCGAAACUCCGCUGCACUUGUCGAUUGACUCGUCAGGACUCCCAACCCUGUAUUGCGGUGUGUUUGGCCAUAACUUAAAUUUACGCCGUAAUAUCCCUUUAAACUGAGUCGGUGUUUGAAAGAAGUCUGAACAAUCCUAUUGUGCUGUUCGACAGAAUUCAGACGGCUGCACCAUUCCUGAUGGACAUCUCUUUUCUCGACAUCUCAGAAACCUUCAAGAAUUAAACAUUUUUAGCUGGCGGUGACUUGGAUGGAUUCUCUUGUUUUGAUUAUAAUAAUAAUAAUAAUAAGACUUGUAUUAAUAAAUAUGAUAAAAUAACGGACAUCGUCUGGCUCCUGGGGGCUGUAUGUGGAUUCGGACGUCUUGUUAUAAAUGCCAGGGUAGAAGCCUGCAGAGCUUGCCAAGUUUAUGAGAGUUCACUGAGCUCUGAGCAGAGCCAGCGCGACUCACAUUCUGCUCUGAAUAUAAAAUGUUAAUUCAUGCUGCAGGGAAUCCAGAAUUGGGUGAGAGAGCAGCAGUAUUGCCAUCCUCUCUCCCUCCCUCUCCUACUCUUUCUUCGUCUCCCCCCGUCCCUCUCCGACCCCAUAAAUGACUGCGCGCUCUCCUAUCAUGCUAGUUUGUGUUCAUUCUCCCUGUCUGACACAUUCCCUGUUUGCUCGCCUGCUGCCGCUGACCCGAUCCAUUCCCCCCCACUUCUCUCUUUGACUUCUGGCCAGGCUGAUGAACCAGAACCCCCCUGAGCCCUCCCAGUCUGCAUCCACGGAAAAAAUCCAUAUAAUUUACUCAACAUAUCCAUACACAACACCAGCAAAUGGCCUGACGUCUUGGCACAGCAGACUCAGGCAGUGGUUGUCACAACUCAUUAACAUGCAGCAGCUAACUUGUCCUAAUUGGGAAUAAAAGGAAAAAAAAAAUACAGAUAUGGACUUUAGUAAAGCUCGUUAUCACCGCAGUGUAGUGUGUAUCAUCUGCCUUUAGCUGUGCCAUGAGCCAAAAAGACAUUUUACUCAUUAGCGCUGUUAGUAGUGCUGUAUAUUCCCAUUUGCUAAGUUAAAUAGUGGGGAGGUUUAAUGCGCUUCAGGCAUAUCGUCUUCUUUUUUUCACUUUAAAGCACUAACUCGGCUGACCAAGUGUGUAAAACUAAAUUUAAUAUGAUUAAGCCCACAUUCCUCUUGCUGGUUUAAGUAAAGACUACCAAGCUGAAGUCAGUAUCUAAUGAAAACUUGGGAAUACUAAAGAAAAUUCCUCCCACGUCCUCUCAUCCCUCAAUACACACCCCCACAUACACGCACUGUAUGUGACAUUUGAGUGUCGAGGAUUCAACUCAAUCCUUCUGGAAAAUUGCAAACCUUCUAAACGUCAGCGAAAGUGAAUUUCAUGGUUAACUGUCUGCCAAUCUCACACCUCUUCCUCCUUCAUGCAGCUUUCAAGAGUGAUUGAUAGGACUCAAGUCAUCCAUCCUGGGACUGUAAGUGUCUUUCUGCAGGUUACAUUAAUCUUUAGUGCAAUUAUGUGCAGGGCAAGGUCAUGUAAAUUUCAACGUGCAUGCACUAAAACUUUUGUGUUAUGAGUGAAUGAUUGCAGUCGUCCCCAGAUUUCUUUGAAUCCAAAAAUACUGCAUGUUUAUCUAAACUACGGAAGAGGAUUAGGGCCACAAGCAGAGAAAAAACAACUGCAGAAGGAGAUUUUUUUUACUUCAAUUUUGAGAUUAAAGUUGAAAUUUAAAAAAGUAGAAAAAGUCGAUUUUAAUCUAGUAAUUUUUAUAUUAUUCACAAUAUUUUGUAAUCUCGACAUUUCGACUUUAAUCUUGAAAUUUCAGUUUUCUUAAUCUCGAGUUUCAACUUUAUGACAUAAUUUAGAUUUUUUUAAAUCUUGAAAUUUCAACUUCAGUUUUUCGGCUUUAAUUUCCUUCCUGGAAUUAUUUUUUUUUCUCUUCAUGUGGCCCUAAUCCUCCUCCAUACUAAACAAACAUGCGAAAGUUGAAAACAUAUAGCACUCAUUUUGAGCGUCAGCGUCGCGUCUCUGCCCUGUCAAGCAGCGCCAUCAAUCGCCCACAGGAUGUGCAUUUGGAGCGUAGUGGCAGCGUAGUGCAGUCCCAGUCAGCUGGGCUCAGUAUAGAGGAAACAACAUGCUCACAACAGGUUGUUUUUUCUGUCUUUUAGGUCUUUCCUGUCUUUCAGUGACUGUUGAGCCUCUACUAUAUGUGAAAAAGUAACAUGAUUCUAAAGUUUCAGUUUUUGCAGGUUUACUGGUUUUUGAUAAAGUAAACUUUGUUCCUUUAUGCUGUGCUGUUACCUGAAGACAGAGUUAGUAGUUAAAAGUCCUGUUGGGGUCCACAUGGAUCAGGGAUUGACCAUCAGAUUGUUCUGUGUUACUGAUAAAUCCAGAACUAGGAAGUAUUUCUCAUCUACAUUAGGGUAACCAUGUCCUUUAACCGUCAAAAAGAGGACAUGACUACGCUGGGGCGGAGUCACGGAGUUGCACAAAGUUCAUUUUGAGAGUUUUUUAGGUCAGAUUGAGUGUCUUUUAUGCGCUUUGAACUCAGUAAGUCCACGUGACACAAACUUCAGAGUUCCGUACAAAACCGCCAACAUUUGAAGGAUUUUAUAAACUUCCCUGGACAAGGCCAGACAGCCCCCAAAAAAGGACAUGAAGAGGAUGUAUGGUCAAAUGGUGUUUUAUUUUGAAAUUUACCAGAUGACAUGCACGGUUUCUCGUGCUUGACAGUCCUUCUAGAAUGAUCUUUAUUUUGAAAAGAAGCCGGAUGUUUUGUUUUGUGUCUGUGACCGUCUUCCUUUCCCGGCAUGGGUUAGUCUGUGCUGAAUUUAUCCGGCAUGCUCCGGCGUCCAAUAAAAAUAGAACUCUUACAAUCAGCUGCAAAGUCUGGCGAUCCGCAGUGGAAUGGAAAGAAGCCGGUGGAAAUUGACACGUUAACUUGAAUGGUUACGAUCGGCGGAUACGGCCUUUUCGUAGAUGUUAUGCGGUGGAAAUAACCGGUUAGACCUAACAGUGAUGUCUGUUUUCCUCAAACAUCACGAUGACGGGAAAUUGAUCUGUAUCCAUUGAGAGCUGUAUUUGUCAUGAGUUAGCAGACUGAACCUACUCCUACUUGGUAUCAUUAUAGCAGGUAAGAAGAGUUCAGAAUGAGCACUAUCCAUAACGCCCAGCAGAGCUGCACUAACUGUGAGAGUGACAAAGUGUUGAGUCUGCACUCCUCUGACAAUGGUAAUCAGCCUUCUGCUACUGUGCAGGGCCAGUAAAUUGUGAGACAGAGGGAGCGUGUGUGUGUGUGCGUACGUGCGUACGUGUGUGUGUGUGUGUGUGGACAGGUGCCUUUGACUGAUAGUUUAAUACGCAUCUUUACAGCGCUGUGAAGAAAGAAUCAAUGAUUAUGCAGAUGCAAGCACAACCAUCUAAAUGCUCGCUGAACUUGAAUGUAACCCCAUACCAAACAUUUCCUGUAUCGCACUCAGAGUAUCCGUGCAAACACAAAGAGCUUUUCUUCUAAUGGAUCUCUGCGAGCGAAACAUUUAAUACCAUCGUCUGUAAGAUUCAGAGUGAGAGUGCAGCCGGUAUAAAAGCCGUCAAAUAAGCCUCUGUGUGUUUCAAGAGAGGGAAAAAUGGAAACUCACUGUGGUGUCAUCGAUGUAUAAAUCUUUGUGGAUUUACACCACCAUCUUUUAUAUUCAGAAUGAAAACAAUAAACUGUUGAAGAAUAAUUUAUUUGCUUACAUUUAACUAUAGAAAUCAUUAUUACUUUAUCACAGUGCUCCUGGCAGUAUCCUGUCCAGCCGCAGUCAAUUCUUGCUCAUUGACAGAAAAACACAUGUGGAGUCUUGAUAAUUAAAAAAAAAAAAGGUCUGAUUUUAUCUUUUUGUCGUGUUUGCACCACAUUUUUCUUAUUGACUAUCUUUAAAAGUGGCUGUGAAGCUUCUGUUCCCUCAUUAAUUAUUCCCUACAUCAUAAAAAUGUAAUAGUUCACUCUGCAAUAAAAAAAAUGAACAAUGUCUAAGUGUUAAAAAAUUUUAAUGUGCCACAACUUCAAAUGGAGCACAUGGCUUGUACACACCAGUUUUGUCCACUCCAGGGUUGUUUAUUGUGAAGAUACUAUUUUAGAAAGUGGACUCAGCUCAGGGGACUUUCUAGAUGUGGGAAAUACGUUAAUUUGUGUAAACAGGAGUAAGAAGAAGAUAACUAAAAAAGAUCGUUAAAGUUCAUCCUGAGGAGAAAAAUGACGUUUUUAUUCAGUAUCAUCCUUUUGAUUUAGCUGCUGUCAGUCAUAUUUCCAUGUUAACUUAAGCAGCUAAACGUCUCCUGUCAGUCUUCAGUAUCAGUGAAGUAAAUCUGCUCAAUCUUACAACUUAAGAGGAGGCUGAACUGUUUGAAGGGGAGAUAAGAUAAGAUAGUAAAAAGGUUAUUGAUACCCAAAGGUACAUUUACACAGAUUACGUAGUUAAGAUUUGAGCAAGCAGACAAGACAAAAAAGGGAGAAGUACGGUGGCCCUGAAGGUGCAAAACACAACUGCAAAUCAGAAAAAAACAUAAACAAAACAGAAAACACAACGACACAACGACAUUCUUCUGAAUAUGUUCUGGUCUCCAUUUUAUGCAAUUUGAUAUUUUCUGUAUAUUCAACUUUAGUAGUUGUUGUUGUCCUCAGUUCAUGUGCUCUGAAAUGCACUUUACUCAAUAAAAAUGGGGUAUAUAAACAGAGUUUAAAGUUUUUGUUUUAUAAAAAAAGAAUUACUUUGUUUGAAUACUAUAAAAGUGGGCGUGACUUGAGGACCAUGGGAAAAUGUGGGUCCCAGAGUGAGACCAGUUGAGAACCACUGGCUUAGACUAUACGUUUAAUGAGUCUUUACAUGAAAUCCUGGGGCCCUGUUUCCUGUUUCUCCAAGUAAUAAUUUCAAGAUUUUUCUUUUCAUUUUAGUUUUUUUUUGUUAAGUUGAAGAAAACCUGAGACACUUCUCCAUCCAAUGUCCCUGCCAGACGACUUCUGUCCUCUAAAUCUUCUCUUUUUAAUGUUUCUCAUGUGUCUCACUGCAGAAAGGGCCUUCUGUUGCUCUCUCUUGAUGUAUUAGAAGUAAACGUGAGUGAUAUUUCCAGUCAAACUCAAUGAUUUUAUCACUGUAUGGACAAUAUCCCUCUCUCUGGUUUUGAUGGUUUCGCUCUGUGGAGAUGCCGGACUGUUUCUUCCUGAUGAAAUUAGUCCAUGAUUUUAUUUUCCAUCCUUUUUUUUCAGUCUGUUUGUUUCUAUGUCGAGCACUUUCACUUGCAUGUCAGAGAGAAGAUGUUAUACUUGACCUUGAGUUGGGUUCGGUCUCAGCUGCAGACAGGAAAAGCGUGCAAUUUAAAGUAAGAUAUUUUACUGUUUAAUUUAAAGUUCGGAUGUCUUAAUUGCUCCGAGACGAAUGAUUAUUUUUUUAGGUCGAUGUGCCCGAGGCAGAGUUUGUCAUCAUUUUGGCAUUUGGGUUUGGUUUAUUAACCUCGGUAAGUGGUGGGGAUCAUAAACAGUUGGCUUGGAAAACUGCCAGGGACCGUCAGCGGUUAAGUUGCCUAAAUAUCUCGUAUGACCACGGGGCAGAAAUACAACAAGGCUCCUUCCCUGUGGCAUCCGCUCAUCUGCUCCAGCUCUCCGUUUCUGGCCGGCUCUCCCCCUGUAGCAUCUGUUUUUUUUUUCUUUCUGCUGUACUUGUCUUCUACAAUAUCUCAUGUUGCUUUAAGCCGCUCUUCCUUUUGCUGUUUUCCAUCUGCUUUCUCGAGACUCUGGCAUCUUCCUCUCUCUCUCUCUCCCUCCCUUCCUCCCUUCCUCCUUUUUUUUCUCCCCUGCUACUCCCUCUCUAACUCCCUUUGUCCUCUGUUGUCAACCUUCCCCCGAGACUGUGUUGUCACUUCUCUUUAGUGUGGCGACUCACCGAGGCUGCGCAGCUGUAAUAGUUUUGGAUCCCAGCGAAACCCUCGGCUAACUGCGCUCAGAGAAGGAGGGGUGAGAAAGAGAGGGAGAGGAGGGGAGGUGUGUGAUGAAGGCUACUGCAAUCCACACAGGCAAUUAAUGACUUUGAGGACAAACCUCUGUCUUCUGCCUCUGACCCUGGGUUAUGCAUUUUCUCCACCGUCACCCCUUCUCAUCAGGUUUUCCCUCUCUCUCGCUCUGUAUUUGAAGCCGUUCCUACAGGCGACACGAACGCUUUUGUGGAGUUUUUCUUUUAUCUUUUUUUUUUUUCAUGUCUUAUCAAAGAAAUGCAUUAAGGGCACAUGGUUUUCCUGCCCUCUCAUCCUCUUCAUCUUUCAUACGGUAUUUUCUGUGACAGCGUGCGCUCACCCCCUUAUGAUUUAGCUUUUGGACAUGGUGAGUGAUGAAACAGCCAAGUCUGAAUCACUGGCGUACGGCUUCAGGCUGUGGGUGGUGAGCUGUCGAAGGUUAGCGAGUCACAGGCAAUAUUUAAAGAAAAUCUCAGAUUAUGAGUCUCGUGAUGAGAUUUGAGGCCCUCACAUGGGACUGAACGUCCAUUUGGAGAUGUAUUUCUCAAGCGUUUAAUCAAGUAUUAAUACAAUUCUUGGGUGGAAUCAUUAGUUCAUGAACAAAUCCUGGAACAUUAGGGCCUGUGUCCACUAACAGCAUCUUUCUUACUGGUGGCUCUUACUAUCUCACUUUCAGAGCACACUUUUACUUUCUUCUACAGUGACGACUUGGCUGCAUUUACAUUAAUUUGUGUGCGUCACAUUUGGUUUAAUUCAAGUAAAUUUGGUGUAAAACAUAAAAACAAUGGAUGCAAAUCACAUCUUUGCUUUAGCAGCUGCUCUAUAUUUGGAAUUCGCCCUGCUCAUGGAGCCUUAGGUGGAACAAAUGAAGGACACCAACAAAUAAAAUAACCAAUAACCCAAACUGGAGGGGUGAUGCAGACAGGAGCGGCAUGAUCAGAAUAUGCAAAUUAAAUUUAGUGGGGGGUCUGACCUCCCCUUGAAGGAUCAUCACAGGAAGUCUGAAAAAGUGUAGAAUUAUUGAUCACUAAGUUAGAGAUGACAUUGAUGACAGCAUGGCUGUGUCACAGAUGUUGUCUGUUGACUCUAAGAGAUGCAGAGUGCUGAAAACAUUGAACUGCAUUAAAAAUAGACACUGUCGGAGCAAAAUAAAUGCGUAUGGUGGACACAGGCCCUAACUUCCGAGAAUACAAAGGGGAUGCCUACAGGUAAAUUAAUCGAACAAAAACACAAUUUUCUCUCAAAAAUACUGUAUUCAUUAAUUGAAAUAGAUAUUGAUAAAGCUUUGUUAUCAGAAAAAGUGUAAUAUUUGCCUGAAAUCAAAGUAGCUUUGUUUACAAUAUAGAAAUUAAAGAGACAAGACAUGAUGCAUCCUGAAAAAAUUGAAAAUCAUACAAAAUUUUUCAAUUCUUCAUGGGACAAUGAUUCAUGGUGAAGGAGUGAAGUAUCUAUUAAUGAAUGUGCCAUUUUUUAUUGGCUUCGGAAAAUACUCUAUGAAGUCAUAAAUAUCAUUAAUUUUUGCACUUCUAAAGUUGACUACUGUAGCUUUUCAAAUGUAUUGAUUUUUGAUAUUACUGCUGCUUUGUCGACUAAAAACGAAGACAGUACGUCCUCACACUCACUUUGAAAAGUGGAGCUCCUUGAAGAGUCUCCCACUCAUCGUGCUGUGGGUGCUUGAUUCACCAAAGCUGAUGAAGCGGGCUCUCGUUGUAAUUUUCCUGCGUUUUCAAACGGUGUCAGAUCAAACAGAAGAAGUACAGACAAUAGACGCCUGAAAAAUGAGGUUUGCUCUGUGAUAUAGGAGGAGUGAGUUUUCACACGACACACCUGAGGUCAACUUUUCUCCUACAGAGGGUCAGUGGAAGUGGUAGUUAAUUUUCUACAGUUAUAGAACUGGUUUGUUUGUCAUUUUUCUGUACCAUCAUCAGAAUACCAAACCAGGGAAAGCCUGUUAGCAUAAAAGUAAAGGGAUUAGGAUUAAAGACACUCCCUUGAUUGAGUACGCAAAAAGGUGUUUUUCCUCAUUGAUUCAGGACUGCAUGGUACAUGCUCACUUGCGCUUCCCACCUGCCCGGCUACCAUAAUAACCGUAGUUUAUUUUCUCAUUCAUGAAAUUCUAAAACCGGGGACAUUUCCAGGAAUACCUUUGGCCGAGGACAGGUCAUCCAAAACGGGGACUGUCUCUUGAAAUGUGGGACCUCCGGUCACCCUACAGAUCCUCCUUGCUAGCAAAAAGCUGAUGGUUGGUUGAGACUAGGAGCUCUCGGAGGAUUCAUUAACAUCAGUCGGAUGUAUGCGAUUCAAGUAGUACAUCAUUGCGGUCGUUGUUAUGUUGUACGUUAGAUCGAUCGAAAUUUUGCAUGAUCUUAACAAUCAGUCAAUCGAUCAUCGAUUAAUCAUGCCCAUUCUUACAAGGGAUCAUCGACUUUAGAAAUCAGAGCCUCUAAAAAGUUAUUCUACUUUUAGGGUAACUUCUUAUUCAGCAUCUUUUUAGUCCUUUUUUUCAUCUUUCUGCAACCCUGUCACUUCAUCUAAUAAUCGUGUUGUAGAUGAGCCACUUACUUAAGAGCUCAAACAAAAGAAGUUUUGGUAUCAGAUGUCACUAUCUUCAAUUUAGGGGUAAAAAGUGACAUUGGCUUUCCCACGUCUUCAGACUCCUGUAGCUCACUUGAGUUCUGUCUAUCUAAUGAACAGUGACGUGAGGUUUGACGAGUUGCAUGCAAAGUGAAACAGACCAAAAUUAACUGCUGACCCAGACUUUUUGACAGUUUAUCAACUGUUUGGCUGAAGAUAAUAUUCAGAGGUACUACCAGGGUAAAAUUAUUCCAACACUGAGACGAGGCUUACAAGAGACAUUUUCACAUUUCAUCUUCUCUGUGGUGCAUGUCAUUCAUUAAACCCAGCAAAGCUGCUCUGAAAAGUCAGCCAAUUUUACCCUGCAGAUGUGAAAAUAGGAAGGAGGGAGGUGAUUUUUUUUUUUUUCUUAUUUCAGACAAGACAGAAUCUUUGCUUUAUAAUCCCCUGUGCUCCUGGAAAGGUUUGAGACCUCGCUAAGCCUGUAAUCUCUGCCUCCCACAACUCCACAAAAGUCAAUAUGAAAGACCAAUUACCAGCAUAAAUACUGCACAUUUCCCAUCUUGGAGAUACUAUAAAUAAAAAAUUAAAAGUGUGGAGUGUGAAUGGCUCGGAGAGAGGGAGUUUUGAGAAGUGAUGAUGGAUCUGUCAACUCGGAUGUCUGUACAUGUCGGAUCAUUGUGUAAGCCCAGAUCAGACGAGCUCCUUUUCUUACCAAAGUGGCGUCACUCUUAUCUUGUUGUCCUAAUAGCAACAUUAAUUCUCAUCCAUCCUGUACUUUAAAAAAAGUCACAUCUCAGAUAAGAUAAGAUACACUCUAUUCCCGAGGAGGAAAUUCAUCCUGGACUUCUCCAGUAUCUGAUCAUCUCCCUGUGAGUCACAUACAGUUUGUCACUUUCAUCUGCCUGUAUUUCCCUUUUUGUCUCUACAGGCACCCUUACAUUGUCUGUUUAAUUAAGUAACCUUAGCCUCCCAGCCUUACUGGGUGCCUUCAUUAAACUCCCUCCAUUAUGCAAUUUCUACAUCACUUAAGAGCUCCUUCAGCACUUGGCGCGCCGAGGAUGUGUGCGGACUCAAAAAAAGAAAAGAGGGGAGGAGGUGGAACCCUCGGAGGUAAAAUCAAAUCAAUACCUUCAGGCGAGAGCUAACAAGGUCUAUCUAGUGUUGUGCUCUGCUCCUGAGUAAUGUCAGGGGACAAGCGUGCAGGUUCUCACCGUUAACCUAUCACACAUUUAAUGGAGCUGUAUUCUCUCUCUCUCUAUCUCUCUCUGUGUUGAUGGCUUGAUCUGCUUUAAACUUCCCAAAACACAAAGAGCCCAUCAGUGCAGCCGUCCACUUUAAAGUUUGACGAUUAAAAAACAAUGAAAUUAGUCCAGGAUGUCCUUCACGGCUGAAAUGUUAUUUAUUCUUUUUAAUUUUUUUUUUAAACCUAAGAUAAUUCCUACGAUGGACUAUUAGGGCCACAUUAAGAAAAGAAAAAAAAAUUCUUCGAGAUUAAAGUCAUCGCUAACGAGAAUAAAAUCGUAAUACAAGAAUUUCUUACAAGAAUAAAGUCGGAAUAAAAUAAUUUUUUACAUGAAUAAAGUCAUAGUCAUUAUUUAUUACAAUAAACUCGUAAAAAUAUAAUUUCUUACAAGGAUAAAGUCGUAAUAAAAUAGUUACUAACGAGAAUAGUCGCAAUAAAAUUAUUACUUAUGAGAAUAAAGUUGUUAUAAAAUUAUUACAAGAAUAAAGUCAUAAUAAAAUCAUUAUUCACGUGAAUAAAGUCUUAAUAAAGUCAUUUCUUACAAAAAAAAGUUGUAGCUAAUAAUCUAACAUUUUGUUAGCUGUUUAAAUGAGCGCUGUGGAGCAUUUAAAUGAAUUGAACUUAAGUAGAUAAGUUUUACAGUCAAGGAGAAACUAAUUCCUUUGGCGUUUCAGCAUCACAUUGUCAGAAGUAUCAGGACAUAUGCAAGAAAUGCAUCUUUUCCGCAGAAAGAACCAGGUGGACUUGUAGGGAAUCGCUGUUUUUGAGGAGGGGGAAAUGUCUGGAAAUGCAGCUGUUUAUAGCAAUAACAUAUGGCUUUAGUUUAUCAUAUGAAUCUAUACGCCAUAAGGUUUUCUUAAAGACUCCAAAAACAGGCAACUGGGCUGUGUAGAGUUGAGAAAAGUAGAUUCUAAGCUCUACACAGCCCAGUUGCCUGUUUUUGGAGUCUUAAAGAAAACCAUGACCUGGAUGAAUGAGAAUCUACAUGGACAUACGUCAUAAGGUGUUGGUGCCUCUGCAGGUGUAGGUUACUGCCGGUGUUGUGCCGGCAUCAGAGACAGAUGUGGUGCUUGUCGGAGCUCGACUCUCUCUAAAUCACAAAUGUUGAUCAGUUGGUUUGUUUCUCGAGAAACAACAAAAUCUCUCUGAAUGGUCCACUGAUGCACCCACAGAUAACUCUGCAGUUGACCAGGUCAGACAUUUCCUCCUCCGCAAAAGCAGUUUUAUGACUUCAUUUACUUUACCACUUUAUUCUUGAAAUUAUUUUCCUAAACUUUAUUCUCAUUAGUAGUCUUAACUUGUUUUUUUCUUUAGUGGCCCUAAUACUCCAUUGUAAGUUCCUGAUUUAGUAAUCUGUUUAUGUUUUUUGUCAUCAAGCAUCCCUCCUUUCAGCGGCUAACCUUCACUGAUGCGGCCUCUGCAACCUCUUCUUUCUUCUUUUCUUACACAAGAAAACAUUAAAACACCGCUCUGUUAUUUUUCAGAGGCACAGGAAGAAUCUGAAAACUGAAUUCUACAAAAUAUCUUCAGUGUUACAUGCUCACCACAUACUUCCUGAAACUAGUUUCAUCUGUAAUUUUCUGCCACAAGGUUGUUUUAUUUAUUUUUUCAUCUUUUGGUUUUGCCGUUUACCCACAAAGGACUGAGAAAUGAUGAAACCAGGAGAAGAAACAGAACAGUCUUUCUCAGAGGUCAAACUGUCCACAGACCAGAUUUGAUGGAAACUUAUCAACAGUGCUGAUAAGAGGUUGUAAGAGGUGAUUCACCUUCAAAUCUAACUCUUGUCAGCUUGGUCAAAAAGUCCCGACUGAAGGUGCGGUGAUUUAAAGCUACAGUAAGGAGUUUUUGGUUUGUUUUGGAUAAAGCAGCUAUUGUCAGUCUUUUCCUCUUGAUUUAAUAAUUUCUUUUGGUUUUACAUGUAAAAAUUUGCUGCAGCGUCUUCUAUUUUACUGUAAAAUACUUUAAAUUAUCUUUUUUAUAUAUAUUUUUUACCCCAAGUCUUCCUUAAUGUGUAGAUAUUUAUUCUAACACUGAUAUUUUAUCAAAUUAAAGACACUGUAGGGAGUUUUUGGAUGAUCAUGAAAUUGACUGAUUCCAACAGUGAUGUCUCUGUGACCGAGAGAGGCAGAUAAGACCACCCAUGACAGAACAGUGACAUUUUUAAUGCCUCUAACUACAGUGAGGGGGUAGCUGUCAGACCAGAUGAUGGACUGUAUGCUGGAGCCGUUUUACUUUUUCCACAGCAGAGAUUUGAAGUAAGAGAAACUUUUGACUGCUACAGGCGGCAGGGUAAGAUUUUCACAUUUAGGGCCAAUGUCCACAGAAGGAACAGAAAGUUCCUCACAGAAGCUUUAAGAAAACAGUUUUAGGUCCUUUCACAAGAGUCAAAAUGAUUGAAAAAACAGGACGGCCCCUAAAUAAAGUAUUUUAAUCUCUCAAUACAGACAUAAAAAGCCCAAAUAAAAACAAAAAUAUAAUUAAAUUGAAUUAAAUUAAAUAAAUAAAAGAAAACAACAGCAUGAAUUAGCUAUUUGAAGUGACCCACAAGGAUUUUUUGAAAUUAUUUAUUUAUUUUUGAUGCUACAAGUUUUAAACCAAAUUUGAUCUAAUUAAACUUAGCUGGUUCUGUUUCGGCCAAAAAACUUGUAAGUUUGUCCCGUUCUCUUUCUAGGGCAGGGGCAUGAUCUAUGUUAUCUUUUCUACACACAUUUUAAACAUAAAUCUAUAGUGGAACUAUGCUCAGUACCCUACUACCAACCCCAAAUAUUUAAAAAGUUGAUAAAAAAGUGAUUUUAUCUAAAGCCGGCUUUUAUUUGAACAUUUCCAGUGAUGGUAACACAAGAUAAGAUGAAAAAAAAUACUGCAGGAAUUUUUUGGCAAACAUUUUUGCCACAGCGUCAACAGGUAAUGAUGAAAUAUGCGUUCAUGUCGUCACUUUUGCUGCUGAGAGUUCUGACCAAUCAGAAUCAAGUUUUCAACAGAGUCAGGGAAAAAAAGGAAUGACCAAUCAGCAUCUUUGAAAGCUUUUUUUUAAAAGUUCGUGGAUACUUUCUUAAUGUUUAUAUACAUGAUGUCAAAAUCUUUGCGACACUUUCUCCCAUCAUCCAUUUUAAUUAGCACCUAUUUCAGGAUUUUCCAGUGGUUGCUGUUUCUUAAGCCAGCCUGUGUUCCACGGCAACAACUCCUCAACUCCCCUACUUAAUUGCUUUAUUUAACAAAGUGGCAAUCAAUCAUACCAUUCACUAGUUACCUGUCAUAUUAUCCAGCCGUGAAAUAGAUGAGGGACACUAUUCCAUCUUUUCUUCCCAACCAAAGCACUUUUCUUCCCGCCUCCGACAUUUUUUCCUCCAGUCAGUGAAGAAUGAAGAAUGUGAGGAUUUUUCAUAAUGUGGCGAAUCUGUCAGUCUUCAUCUCCGUGCUUUCUCACUGUUCACUCUCUAUUGAUCAGUCACACUGAAUUGAUGAUUGCAGAAUAAUCAAUGAGCGACUUUUUUCCCCCCACAAAACAUUCCCAUAUGCAGAUUAAACUCAGUGAAAGAUGUUAAAAUGUCAUCGCACCGUCUUGAUCUGAAUUUGCAGGGUCAGCUCUGCAGGAGAAACAAAAGAAAAAAAGACAUUUUGACUAAAUCAAUUAAGGUGAAGUACGUUCCAUAUGCAUCACCAGUUUAGGCCAAUAAAGGGGAGUUCCUUAAGAUAAUCCAGAGAGUGUACAGUACCUGAAAGGACAGGAGACGGAUGUGUUUCAGAGAUGGUUUUCAGGAACUUUAUCUUUUGAUUAAUGGAGCAUUGAUAUGCAUAGCUUAUGAAAUGAAAGGCUGGGAAAUUGCUUUCCUAUCUUGAUGGGCUGAUAAUGUGAACGGGAUAGGGGACUUGCCUAGCUCAGUCAACAGCACCUGUCAUUACACCUUUGGACCCUAUCAGCCCAGUGAUCUGUCUUCUCCCGAUCUGCUUCAGAGGGGUAAUCUCACAAAGCAAUUAGGACUUCCUCCCUCUCCCCACUGUAUUUAAAUGGCAAAUUAUAAUGUUCCCCUCCUUUCCAGCUGUGGAGGGACCCGUGGCUGUGGCUGAUGUUUGCACAAAGAUGUUCAGAGAGAGGAGAGCAGCCAUGGCUCAUUAGUUUGGGAAUCUUGCAAGACAGGGAACUUCUGAUUUUACAUAACGCUGUCCCAAAUGCUGAUCGUCUAACACUGGUGUAAACGUACCAGCAUGUUAGUGUCUUGAUCACUUGUAACACUGAUUCACGAUUACAGUGUGUAAACGUUCUCAGUUACUACAGUACAGGGUGCAAACACAGACAGUGUAAAACAUGGACUGUGGUGGCUAACAUAUUGAAAAUGCUGACUCAUCCUAACUUCAGGUUGAACUGACAUGCAGGUGGAGCUGAGGCGAACCAUAAGCCAUAUGGCAAACAUCACAGCGCUCACCCGACUGUCAACUCAGCCAUGCUCUUUAUUAUGCAAAUGUAUUCAUAACUUACUUUCCUCACAGCUGAGCUGAGUUACAAAAGAAUCACUUACUCUACACUGUGCAGGAACGAAGAAACAAGCUGCUGAGACCAAACCUGUCUGUGUACCAGGUUGUAAAAAUGUUUAACUCGGUUUCAACAUGGGUGUUAAAGGUGGGGUAGGCAGGAUCUGAGGAAGUGCCAGUUUUCAGGAGUAUAUAAUAAUAAGAUAAGAUAAUAAGAAUAAUUUAAGUUUAAGUGUUUAUUUCUCCCCUCCAAAAGUUUAAAUUUGUUAUUUAAUGAUAUAAAAAAAAUGAGGUAUAAUUCCAUGACUGACAGUUUUGUAGAAAAAUACAGCCCUGUAUACACCAGAUAAGCAAUGCAGCUGGAGGAAAAGUGAGAGGAAAUGAAACAAAACCUCCAAGAAGAGUCAUUAAACUUUUUCGCAACUGUGUGUCUGCUUCAAACUCAGACAGGAGGCAAGAAUAACUCUAAUCCAACCACUGCUUAUGUCCAUGUGGAGAUUUGAGUUUGUCAGAGACAAAUGUAGAAAUUAGGAGUUGUUGUUUUGUUACUUAGUUUUGGAGUUUGGAUUAUUUAGCUGCAGUUUUAACAGUGGAAAUGCAGUGGUUGCUCUUAGAUACAGUCUUGUUUUGGUGGUUUAAUGUCUAUCUUUGUCCUGGUAAGACUCCAGAGUUCUUAUAUAACUUCAAAGUCCAAAGUUAUAUAAGAAAAAACUCAGAUGUUAUUGUCCAGAUUGUGUAGUUCAAAAUCAAGUUGAUAUUUUAGGAUAUUGACUCUUAAGUAAUAUCCUCCUGUGCAGUUUCUGAAAAAUUCAACACAAAUUUACUUAUUAGAGCAGAUUCUGUGUUUCAGUUUCUCACCUGGACCAAUUUCACUAACUGCUGGCUUUCAGCAUUUCAGCCUUUAUCAUCCCCUCUACAGGCGAUGCCAUCUGCCUUUUAUCAACAAUGGGCUGACGUGGCACAAUCAUGCUUUCACUCUCCCAAUAUGCAAUAAAACACACUGUAAAAUAUAGUGUUUUCAGCAUUUUGGGAGUUAGAGAGUAUUUCUGUUUCCAAAAAGCUUGUCUGAAGUCUGGCAGCUGAAUGAGCUCUGCUGACCUAAGCUACUACGACUACAACAGCAUUAUAGACUUGAUAAAAGCUGAACAUAAAAUAAUCGAGCUGCACCUAUCAGAGGGUGUGGCACCUCCUCAGCGAAAAAGAAAAGAAACGAUCUCCAGAAUUCUUCUGUUCAAUCACAUUAAAAGGUUUAUUCUAGCGUUUUUCCAUCGCUCCACUCCAGCACAAGAGGAUCCACUUAAGAUAAAAAAGCUUUUAUUCAAAAUAGCUCUAUAUAUCCCUCUGGGACAACUGUGCAUGACGCCUCCAGUCGCACACAACACAUGAUAUUAAGGGAGAAAAAUACAUUUAUUUGUAUAUUCCCACUUGCCUGUGAUGCUGUGGAUAUCGGCUGUGAUACUGCAGGCUGAGUCAAACGGAGUUAUUUGGCUGUUGUUGAUUGUGCCACGUCCCGACUAUAAUAACACUAUUAAUCCUGGAGGAAGCCACCUGCAUGCCUGCAGAUUGUUUGUUGAACUACAUUAAUUUCAAUCCACUUUAUCCAAUUACUGUACCUUAUAUUGACACGCCAAGGAUAACUAACCGCAAACUAAGGUGAAGUAAUCAGGGACAGGGGUGUCUGUGUUGAACUGCUGAGGAACAUGGCUAAGGACAGAUAAGCCGUGAUGAAUUUCGCUGCGUGGUUUCACUCGCCUCUAACAGGCUCUCAAGGAUUUUCCAUCAGUUCUGACAAACAAUACAACAGCAUUUGCAUGUUCUGGUUGUCCCAGCCAAUUAACAAAUGAUAAAUUCAUCUGACUGUACACAUUUUUAGCUGGCACAAUGUAGCAACAGAUGCUAAGAGCAGUUACUGUCUUUGAAGAAAUAUGUGGGCCUUAGAAAUUAUUUUUCACUCUAUCAAAUUUCACCAAAACAGCUUGACCAGGCUCAUAAAUUUCUGCUGUUUUGGUCUUUUUUCGUUGGCGUUGUUCGUUGAUUUGUAUUUUAUACGGCACAUGUGCUCUGCACUUGUAAAACCGACCUCUAAAAGUCUGAUGGAUCACAAUUUUUGACCAUUUAAUAUACAAAUGGAUUAUUAUUAUGACAGCAGACCUUCAGUAUAUGAAUCCCUGAAGGGAUCUAAAAUCUUGGCCUUGGUGUGCCAACUACCAAACCCUCCAAACCUCAUCACUGCAAGCUGUACAUCUGUCACACAUGUUAAUGGACUGUACUGAGAUGUUUAUUUUUAAUACCACUCAAUGAAAUAAAACAAAACAUGACACACUCACCCAUUAACAAACAUUUUUACACCAAUGCCAUAAAGGAAAAAAAAAUGCUAAUCAGUUCAACUUGAUCCAGAUAUCAGCUUUUCAGAGCAGGUUAUAAGUAGUUGUGGAUGGUACAGACAUACGGUCUAAUCAGUCUACCCUUAAUACAAAUACUCAUACUGCGGGCUGUUGUAUUGAGAGUAAAUUAAGGUGACCAGACAUCUCUGAUUUCCAGAGACAGUCCUCGAUUUGGAUGACCUGUUCCCGGCUAAAACUGUCCCCAGAUUUUAGCAUUUCAUGAAUGAGAAAAAUAAUAUAUGUGCAUGUAGACUGGAACAACGGUUAUUACAGUACCCAAGUAGGUAGGAAGCACGAGUAAGCAUGUUGCGCUGAACAACUGUUUUUAUGGGGGGCAUGCGCUGCUACUAAGUAGUGCCGUGAUGUUGUCUGUAAUCAUACAGGAAAUGUCAUUCCACCUUAAACCGGUACUGCAGGACCUUGGGAUCAAACCAUGAACCCGCUAAUUAAAGGUCAUUACACACCGUGUGUUGUGUUUACCAGUGAAUUAGCAAAGCGACGCAAAAAUAUGAAGUAUUCAGCUUACGCCUUUUCCGAUACACCUCUGGUGCGCCGCAAAUUAAAUUAGCAUAUUCGCAUAAAACACGCCAUGGGAGAACAGAGGAGGAGAGUGAAGGAGAAACAAUGGCGACUACAUCCUUAAAUGAUGAUGACCUGGUCAUGGUUGUAUUCCCAUUAAAUAACAAAAAGAAGAACUGAAAUGUCUGGGUACAUCCAAUACUGACCUUGCAACAGGAGACGGGGGAGCUCGACGCAGCGAUCCAGGAGCUUUAAUUGUAUCCCAAGAAAUUCCGACAAUACUUCAGAAUGUUCCUCUGACAAUUUCAAGGACCACUCCAACAGCUGACUCCACGUUUGCAGAAGGAGAGGACAAAUUACAGAUUUUCUAGAGCAACAGCUCGCCACAUGUCUGAUGUAAGAUUUAUAUAUUAUAUAGAUUUACGUAACAGUUCGCAAAAUUCGCUACAGUUACACAGUUCGCUAAAAUUACAGUCGCUUUUUCACUCUGUGGUAGUUCAUUGCCAGUGUGGGAACUUGCAUUGACUUUAUGAGGUUUUUAAAAAAAAAAGCAAAUUAUUCGCUUUGCAAAUUCGCCCCGGUGUGUAACGACCUUAACACACAUCUGUUUUUUUUUAGAGGAAUGAGCAGUGGUGAAAUACACUCACCGGCCACUUUAUUAGGUACACCUGUCCAACUGCUUGUUAACACUUAAUUUCUAAUCAGCCAAUCACAUGGCGGCAACUUAGUGCAUUUAGGCAUGUAGACAUGGUCAAGACAAUCUCCUGCAGUUCAAACCGAGCAUCAGUAUGGGGAAGAAAGGUGAUUUGAGUGACUUUGAACGUGGCAUGGUUGUUGGUGCCAGAAGGGCUGGUCUGAGUAUUUCAGAAACUGCUGAUCUACUGGGAUUUUCACGCACAACCAUCUCUAGGGUUUACAGAGAAUGGUCCGAAAAAGAAAAAAUAUCCAGUGAGCGGCAGUUCUGUGGGCGGAAAUGCCUUGUUGAUGCCAGAGGUCAGAGGAGAAUGGCCAGACUGGUUCGAGCUGAUAGAAAGGCAACAGUGACUCAAAUAACCACCCGUUACAACCAAGGUAGGCAGAAGAGCAUCUCUGAACGCACAGUACGUCGAACUUUGAGGCAGAUGGGCUACAGCAGCAGAAGACCACGCCUGGUGCCACUCCUUUCAGCUAAGAACAGGAAACUGAGGCUACAAUUUGCACAAGCUCAUCGAAAUUGGACAAUAGAAGAUUGGAAAAACGUUGCCUGGUCUGAUGAGUCUCGAUUUCUGCUGCGACAUUCGGAUGGUAGGGUCAGAAUUUGGCGUCAACAACAUGAAAGCAUGGAUCCAUCCUGCCUUGUAUCAACGGUUCAGGCUGGUGGUGGUGGUGUCAUGGUGUGGGGAAUAUUUUCUUGGCACUCUUUGGGCCCCUUGGUACCAAUUGAGCAUCGUUGCAACGCCACAGCCUACCUGAGUAUUGUUGCUGACCAUGUCCAUCCCUUUAUGACCACAAUGUACCCAACUUCUGAUGGCUACUUUCAGCAGGAUAAUGCGCCAUGUCAUAAAGCUGGAAUCAUCUCAGACUGGUUUCUUGAACCUGACAAUGAGUUCACUGUACUCAAAUGGCCUCCACAGUCACCAGAUCUCAAUCCAAUAGAGCAUCUUUGGGAUGUGGUGGAACGGGAGAUUCGCAUCAUGGAUGUGCAGCCGACAAAUCUGCGGCAACUGUGUGAUGCCAUCAUGUCAAUAUGGAGCAAGCUCUCUGAGGAAUGCUUCCAGCACCUUGUUGAAUCUAUGCCACGAAGAAUUGAGGCAGUUCUGAAGGCAAAAGGGGGUCCAACCCGUUACUAGCAUGGUGUACCUAAUAAAGUGGCCGGUGAGUGUAUGUUAGCUGGCAGUAUCUGUCUCUGUUUUAAAACACAGUAACAUGCCUUUUUAGGUCCUUUACACUUAGUUUGGACAAACAUAUUUUUGAGUCCUUGAAAAAUAAAGCUGAGGAUAUGUGUUUGAUGCCACUCUGUCUGGUUUGUUUUCCUGCAGUGAAGUGCCCAAACAUAUUAUUGAGGACACACUACAGGAUGCUCAAAUGUCUGUUUUUUGCCGUAGAGUACAAAGCCACUGUACUUACAUAUCUGUGUCUGUGUGUGAUGGAGUCAACUUGUUUCCAUCCCUCUAAUGUGGAGUCUUUUAGUAAAGGCCUUGUUAUUUCUUUGUACAACACAACAAAGCUGCUGUUUAUCAAUUUAUAUAACCUGAUGGAAAGUUGGAUGGCAGCACGAUGCAGAGGUUCUUUGUUGUGCAAAUUAGUAAAUAGGGGUUAUUUCUUCUUGUAGAUCUUUUAGUACGAGCCAAUAUCACACUUCUUCAGAAUAACUGGAGUGGUUGGUUGGGUUACUCUUGCCUUCUGCAGAGUGAAAAUGUCAGUGUACCAAUUUACCACUUCUUAAUAAGCUUGGCUUUACAAAGUCAACCAUCACAGGAUUGCAUCAAGAACCCAUUAUAGUCUGUGUCCUUGACUCCUCAUGGGCCCAUGUGUGGAAGUGGCUGCAUGAUUCUCUAAGAUAAGGUGCAGUAUGUUACCUGACCAUGGUGUAUUUUCUGUUUUGUUUCUUUUGUUGGCGAGUGUUGAUUGGAUCCACUUCUUUCCCCCUGCUUGUCCAGUUAACAUACAGAUGUCAUUAAAUUUUUUCUCCAUCCCCAUCAGGACCAUCAUCAUGUUUCAGCUGUUCUACCAUCCUGCUUGUUAAAGAGACUGUCUUGUAGGUCCAGCACUUUAACAGCUCUGGAACACCAUGACAAUUGGCCUUUUUUUCCCACUGGUACCCAUAGUUACUCAUAUCACUGGUAUGUUACUGCCUGAAGGAUUUCAAUGGCAAAAUAACACCAACACCAGUGUUUCUCCAAGGUUGAGAAUUUACUUGUGGUGCAUCCCAAAAUAAUCUAGUCAAACUAAGGUUUAUAAACUAUGUGUUACUUUUCGCACAUACAGGGCCAGACUAACUUGUUUUGCCAAGAGCACAGUAACAAUGAACUACAAAUUUUAGGAACACAAGCAGAAAAUUUAGGGGUGCACUUCUAAAGAUGCAUAACAAACAUAAAACAUAAGGUCGACAGUGCACUGUCAUUACGCUGACCAAUGAGAAGUUUUUUUUCACACAUGGCAUUUGUUUACGACUCCAAAUAUUACUGUUGAAUGAAUUAACUGUAUACCUUGCCCUGUGAGUGAAGGCAUCAGGCUUUGAAAAAGGUAACAAAUUAACACAGCUAUAAAUUUACUUAAUAUCAUUCAUCAACAAAUAACAAAUUGCACAUUAGCACACAGCAAAAAGAAGUAAGACUUUCAUGUAUUAAAAGAAAAUUUAACUAACAGGAAAAAAAGACUGGAUCGGAACACUUGAUCAGAAUCAUUUAUCCGAUAUAUGAUCCAGUUCAUUUGUCCAUAUCGGAGCAGAUAUCCAAUUCAAAUAUCGGAUUGGUGCAUCCCUACUGGACAUGGUAACUAAAGGGCUGUUACACCAUUUUGUCUUGGUUCAGAAAAAUAGCUACAAAGCUGUGGCUUCACCAAGCUGAGUUCAUUAAAAGUAUGGUACACAAUUAUUUGAGGGAUCAGGCUUUUCCGGAAGUGCACACAUAGUAACAUGUUUCAUAUUUGUGACAUAGCUGAUACAGUUUUUUGGCUGAGAUCCACAUGGCUCACUGGAAAAUCAAAAGAGGGGAGAUGCUCUGGCCACACCUGGGGUCUGAAUGGUCUGAUCUGUGAACAUACUGGCCAAAAAUCAAGCUGUUCUAAAGGGCUGUCACGCUGCCAACAAAACCGAAGCCAUCGGCGCUUUCCACGGAAGCAACUUCCCGUUCUCUCUGCAUGUGUGUGAAAAAAUUCAGUUCAUUAGAAAAGCAUACAGGUUGGAAACAGCUUCUUUUUUUCUGUUUGGAAAAAUAAUUCAGAAUAAACACCAAGUUUGACAAAAUAUUAAAUUUGAAAGUGCUUCAAGAAGCAUGACUUUAUUUUUUAAUAAGUUUCUACCAUGAGUCUGAAGGUAAUAUAAACAAGAGUUGUUGUGUUUACUCCCUGAUGAGGUCUCGCUGAGAUAAUGGGGGGAAUCUUUAAUGUGAGGGAGGAAAUAAUGUCAGUUUAAUGAUUAAGACUUCAAGGGGAGUCAGGGGAUAGUCAAUGUGAUCACUGUCUACUUCUUCACUGUCUACUUCUUCACUGACUAAGGCCAGCUAUCCACCAGAGGACUUGGAGAAGAUUUGGAAAAGACUUUUGGGAAACUAUCAGCUCAGACUGGCUCAAAUCUAAAGACAAGAGUUAAAUAGGGUUUUUAGUCUCAGACUGAGUCUAAGGUAGUGCGUAAUAUAUAUGUUUAUAUAUAUAUAUAUAUUUUUUUUUUGGGGAGGUGUGGCGGCUUUUAUUUAGCUGUAUCGGUGCGCCAUUACAUGUGGGGGAAACCCUGCAGUUGAAGUCGAAUAGGCAAGGCUGACCUGCCCACAGCUCCACCACCCGCUCCUCUUCCUGGACUGUCCACUGUCGAUGUUUUAUUGCCAGUAAUUCUUUAUACCUUUUUGUUCUUGUUUUGACCAUCAGGUUUCCCUUUAAACUUUUGUCGAAGCUCAUCUAUUGGUUGUUGGUCAUGUUACAUCACUAUGACUUACGAUAUUAUCGCAAACCCAAGACUAGGAAAAGACUGAUAUAAAACAGAGCAGAUUGCCACCAUAAACUGAAUGAACUAUGGACAACUUGGUUCCGCCUUCCGACAGUAUACAGAUUUGAAGCCGAAAAGCUCUUGGUAAUUCCGCAUUUUCUCGCCAUUUCCUGAAACCAACAUUGCGCAGUAGCGUUGUACAAACCCGGCCACUUGUGCAGUAGCAUUGUGCGCAUUUGGCAGUAAAGUCACUGGGAAUUACUACCUCCACAGCUCCAUGGGGAUUGUUGGAAGAGGCGGGAUUUAUGACCUAUACUGCAGCCCGUCACCAGAGGGUGCUGUUCUCGUGGAGGGAGACACUGUCCAUUCUAUAUACAAUCUGUGAUUACCACCUUCAACUUAACGAUCCAGAUGACCAGAGCUCGCUGUGACUCCAGUAACACUCCUACAUUUACUGAAGACUUUCAGUCUUUAGUGUGGGACUGUGAAAAUCGUUUGGUGUAAGCCCGGCAUAAAUCAGACUUAAUUUCAUCGACUGAACUCAUGAUUUGCACUGACUAAAAUCAUAGCAAUAGUUAAGGUGCUCUCCACUUCCUAACUCCUGUAACCCAGGAAACCUGAGGGUGUAACCACCGAGGAGUGGAACACAUUUCAUGGAUUACUGGAAAUCAGUAUUCAACUAGUGAUGCUAAUAAAUUAGUAAAUUUAACAUGCUGUCAGGGGUCUAUUUCUGUAACCAAUCAUUCAACAUUUAGAAAAGACAGGACUCAUAAAUCCGAUAGACACUAGGGGGUGUUAGCUUGUGCUGUUUUUGGGUGUUUGCCACAAUAACCAAUGCUGUUUUUCUUGGGGGGGAUAUUCUUGCCAAUCCGUUUCUAUUGAUGAUUAAUAAUUUAUGUUUUGAUGGCCAAACUGUGAAGGGCAAUCACUCUUGCCUCUCAGUGAGUUUGAUCAUCUCAGUGCUGAGUUAAGCUGUGUGUGUCUCAUUGGUCCUAAUUACAACCAGGUGUGAGAAGCUCAUCUGUCCCUUGGGGUAGAUAUCUUGCAAGGUCAGACUAUAUGAUUUCUCUGUCUGCUAUGACACUCUGAAGGAUUAUACAAUCACACAGCUGCAACUUGACCAGCAGAUAAGACGACUACAUGGUGGCCAAUUACGACAGUCGAGGUGGUGGCGGUGGGAGGAAGAGGAGAAAUGGCCGCUAAAGUGGCGUAGCAAGAAUAGUUGACUAAGGCCAUGUCCUUAUGUUAUGAGAAGUGGACAACAUGGACAUUUCAAUCCCUCAGAAAGACCUUAAAAAAGAAAAUACACUCAUUUUCAUAUUAGACAUUUCUGACGGCUUUGAGAAAAGUAAAUAUCCUCUUGGGAGCCCCCCUAAAGGACUUUUCCCAUUUGUAUUUGGAGGUGCAGUCCAGUAUCACGAAUUUAACCCAACUGAAAACAGCACAUCAUGGUGGAAGUGGUGAGUUGGAAAGGAGACGUGCGAGUUUCGGUGUCUUUGGCUUGUAUUGCGAUCAGCCUAAUUGAGCUGGUCUGUUUUUGUAGCUCGCUAAUAGGCUGGUGAUGAUUAUACGCUAGAUUUAGCUGACACUCAAGCAAGCACCAUCUGUUUAUUACAUUCAAUUAAGGUUUUACAAAGACACAUUAUCAGAGAUGUUAAAGUUUCUAUCUAGGGAGCUUUCCACUGACUUAUAAUAUCUGCUGAAUCCUACGUACUCGCACUAUCAGCGUAUGUCCAACUAAAUGUUUUUAGACCCUUUGGUCUCAUUGGCCAAUGACGCUGAUUUGACAGGCAAAAAGAAAUGUUAUUAUCCCCGCUGAAAGUUUAGUCUUGAGUCAGCUAAUACGUACCAAACAUGUGCAGUUUAGGAAGCUUGUUUGAUUAUUUUUGUAUGUUUUUUUCCCCCACUCCUCCAUCCAAUCAUCCAAUUUGUGGUUUACCCUCUGGGAUUACUUUAAACAUCCCUGGUUGGCAAUUAUGCCCCACUCUACCUCGUUGCAACACAAAUAGUCUGAAUGUAGGAGGCUCAUUUAAAAAAGAAAACAGGUUUUGCGUUUAAACAUGGUGCUUCCUUAGAGUAGACCCAUGGCGGUCUGUAGUGCCCACUUGAGGGCUUCACGUUUGAUAGAUUUAGGGUUAUGAUGUGCCGUCGCGAGGUAUAAACCCUCAUCACACUCUCCGUGCAGUCGGGUAAAUCUUAAAGCAUGACUCCUGGGUGGAAGCUUAAUCUGCAGGCAAUGGAGAAGAAUGACUUUUCUGCUUGGCUGAUUAGGCCGCAGCCCGCUGGCCCCGGCGUCCUGUCAGUGUCUGACUGCUGAAUGUCUUGUGUAUAAAUAAAAAUGUUUGUUGGGUAUCAUUUCAUUCAAGUUUUUGUCAUUGCCGCUGACAUCAAAGUCAUUCCUCUCUGCAAGUUUGACCCAACUUGGGAAAAAAAGGAGUAUUUUUGUAGGGACAGGAGCGUGGCCGUGCAUCUCUGAGAACUGUGUACGAAGCUGCCCAAGCUGACCUCCGUAAAAACACUCACCAGUUGGACAGGAUAGGCUACGCCAUAACUUAAAUUGUUAAGCGUUUCCACUUUAUCUCAUUAAAGAAACUGUCUCAAUUAUGUAAUUGUCAUUUCCUGCUGUACACAGGAAGUGCAGCGUCUGAAGACAAUGUAAUCUAAUAAUCCUGUAAACUGUGGUGAGAACAUUGGAUGUAAAUUUAAUAACACAAAGUUUUCUGCUUGGACAAUUGGAUUUUGAUUGGUGUAAUUGACAAUUACUAUUCACAGACAUGUAACACAGCCCAUUGUUCAGUGUAUGAUUCAUCCGUUGUCAGAACCAACGAGACACGUUGAAACAACAGUGAAAAACAUCUGACUUGCCCUCAAUCAUCUCGAACGUCUAUACGCUGAAUGUGUUUGCAGUCAUUAGUAUUCGAAUAAAAGAUUCAUAAAAGUUGUUUUACCAGCGUGUUUCAUCAAUCUUGUCUUUAGCAGCUCUGAGUCAUAUAUUUUAAAACCUUUAUUUCCAAGAAAACUGAAGAUGUGAGAAAUAAAUCACACAGAUAUUAUGUUUCACAGUAGGCCUAUAUUAGGCUAAUGAUUCAACGUGUGGAGCAGACAUUCGCUCAGUUCAGCUGUUCUUCAUGUAGAAAAUCCCUUACAUUGUGUAUGUAAUGGUGGCAAAUGUGUGAAUAAAGUUAGCAAAUAACCGGUCAAAGGCUCCACUCUUCAUCACAACAUCAUGAAAUCUAAGAUAGCUGACCCUGGCGUCAUCAGCUCAUUAAAAUCCCAAUCAGAUCAUUUAUUUUUUUACAACUUAAAGUGUUCUCAGUGGUCUUUAAAUUGUGAUCAUGAAGUUUUUAGCCAAAAUCCCAUUACCUGUGCCAUUUUCAAGGACUUUUCUUCUGUAAAGCUCCAGUAGCUCAUUAGCAAUUCACCUCAGAGUCGUGGGUGGAGACAGCGAUGCUCUGCACACUCCUCUACACGCUAGCUAGUCGCCUAACAUUGCUGGUGUAGUGGAAGAAACAGGUAACAUAGGAGCUAUUCAGCUUUUGGACACUAAUGUCCUCAAGGACAUGAUGAAAGUUAAUAUCAUUAUUAGCUUUCUUAUAAAUAUUGCAAUCUGCUAACACACACGCUUGUUUCACAAUUGUCCUCUCUGUUCCUCAGAGUCUGGCCUGCAUUGCUCUGGGGGUGGAGCUUGGAUUUGUGAUGUAGGAAAUCUCUCUGUAUCUGAACCUGCUGUUUGGGUCUGCCAGAGAUUCACAGAGAUUUGAAUGCAGAAAUACUCAGAAAUGCAAUUUCACACUUAUUUUUCUCAUGAUAUGUCCUGUAGCAUCAGAAAAAUGUCACAUGAACAUGUAGACAACAAGAAAAACAUGAUUUUCAUCAGAGUGGGUCUUUAAGAGGUCACUCUCAGAUCACUGGGAACACUGAAAUGUGGACCAACGCCACUUCCUAAUGUGCUGGAAAAGCUCUUAUUGGUUUAGUUAAAACUGAAAGGCAUAGCUGUUACAGUUGUGUUCAAGCUUUUGUGUUUGAUUAAAUUAGAUGACAUAAUUAGUCAUAAUGUUAUAACUGAUCAAUGUGUGUGUCGAUUAUGAAAUUUUCAAUUGUCUAUGUCACAUGACGUGCUUCAAACAUUAUCGCCUAUUACAUUCUGCAUGAUUUGGUGGGUUGGGCACCAUUUGGAUUCAUAGUCAAGAGCAUUGAUUAAUUUUUAUCCAUAACAGCGAAACCUCCAGCUUACCUCUGUGUUCUUCUCUACAUCAGCUUUAUUCAGCACCAUUUGUGAGCCUCUAAUUUGUAGAUCUUUACUGUGCCACAAAUUAUUUUUUGUGAUUUCCUCUUGAUUGUCCUUUUUGUGUGUUUACAGGUCUGAAUGGCUGCUAAUUUUGGGCUCGGUCACUCCUGCAAAUGGAGUCUUCAGUCUCAAUGGGACUCAUUGGAAAAACAAAGGUAAAAUAAAUAAAUAAGUAAAUAAGGGCUUUUUUUGCUUGAGCGGAAACAGAGAGGAGAAAAAGAGCCCUGAAGUUGGGGAACUAGCUUGUGGUUUCUCUCACUGUGCAAAAACUGUUCCUGACUCCAACUUGCAAGAAAUUCCAGCAGCGGCCUUUUGAUUGAAGCAAACAAUUAUUGAGCUGAAAUUGUGCCCCACUUGAGACUAAAUAAUUGGCUUACAGCUCCAGUACACAGUGUAUGCUGGCUUUAGUGGUGAAAGAGAGGUCACAUUUCACUUCUGUCUUAGAAAGCAUCUUUGAAAAGCAACAUAUAAACCAUGUUGAUUUGGUUUUUCCAUCUGUGCAUUACUUUAUGCUGCGCUCUUAUCGCAAAUGUAUGUUAAAGAACUGAAUCUUGCACCUCCUGGCCAAGUUGAAGCUUUAGUUGACCUGAUCCAAUUCUAUAAAUCACAGUUUUUCUAUUGAAGUAAUCACCUGACGGGCUAACUUUUGGGUUUUGCUGCCACUUUAUAAGAACCAGGAGCAUUUUUAGAUAUUUUUGUAACUCUGGCAGAAACUGACUGCCCUCCAGUCUAAAAUCUGGCCCAGCAGAGAAAGCUAUAAAGUGAUAUUUAUCUUAUUUAUGCUGUCAUUUACCUGCCUAAAAGCAUGGCUCAUUCCAGACCAUGAAGGUUAGAGCUCUGAAAGCUCCUGUUCUGAAUUGACAGGUAGAGCUAAUUUAUAUGAGGAAGAAUGCGCUGUAUUUAGUCCUUUUCAAAAUAAAGCAAUACAAACAUGCAACGUGUUUUUAUUACAAGGUAAAAGCUGCAUAUUGCAUUAAAUAUUAAAAGGAUUCCUCAGUUAAAAAUGCCAAAUAUUCACCAGAGUUGAAUGCGUUGUUAAGUGAAUGUGUAAACGCCUCAUAACUGAAUUAAAUCUAAUAUUAGUGUUAUUUUUCCUUAGACUCAUAACGUACUUUAUCUUCAUUGCAGUGUGAGGAGAAAAAAAAACUUGAUGACAUUGAAGUCUGCCCUCCAGUACGAUUGUGGGUGCUCUGUCGAAAAGCGAAAAUAAGGAAGGCAGAACGUUAUUCGUAGAUUCCUAACCUUGCCUGUCUUGCCACCAUCAAACCAUUUAUCUUCCUUUUUUGUGUUCAGAGCUCAUUAGUCUUGAUUUAAUUUUCUCCCUCUGUGCUGACUCGAAAAAGGCAUCCAAUUAGGUGUCAGUCUAAGUUUCCCUCGCCUCCAACUCUCUGAGCCAGAGAUGACUAUUGGUGUUAGAAAGCAAGUGCACUGAAAAACACGGGUUAAUGGGAAGAAUAAUUUCAAAGCUCCUAAAUCAGAGUCUUAAGAGAUUUUGUAAGGAACUGCUGGUCUUAGUCAAGUGAAUACACAGUGAUGUUUAAGCAUGAAUAUUCUAGGUUUGAGGCCUAUGGCCAAUUAGAUACUUAAUAUGUGGGGUUGCAGGGGUUUUACAGCUACUCAGGCUUCAAAAGCAUACAGGGUUGGAUUAAUUACUGGUCAGAAUUACCCUUGGAGUUGGAAUAGUUGAUUUGUCCUGAAGGGUCGGCCCUGUGAUGGACAGCUGGGAUUGGCUCUCCCCGCAACCCUGAGAAGGAAAAGCAAUUUAUUGAGCAUGUUUGAGCGUUUGUAUGUGAUUUUCAUGUUUUGAAGUUCUCUGUUCCCGUCAUGUCAGACAGCAUAUAUUACUGUGUCGUUUAAUUUGUGUCUGUCUGGUUUGAUAUUUUCUUUAUUUUUCUUCCUUUUUGCGACUAUGCAACAAUCACCCUUUUGCCCAUGCAUGGCUCCUUAUCCCUUGAUAUGUAUAUAAAAUGUGCAUACUAAAUAAAUAACAGUUC